GACCGACAUUUGGUGCUAUGAUGAUAUCGGGACAGAAGGCCGGACAACUUGCUCUUAAGGCUUUGGGGCUGCCAAAUGCUAUUGAUGGAACUAACGUUGGAAACCUAAGCCCGGAGCUGGUCUUAGCCGCUGCUGAUUCAGCUGAAACCGUAGAUGCUUAAAAUCAAAAGGUUUUAACUUAAGAAAAAUUUCCCUUGAUCCUUCGGAUGUUGAAGGAGUGCAAUAAAGGAGUUUAGGUGUUUAAGUCUUGAACUUUUUCUGGUGUCUUUGUUUCUUUGUUUCCUCUUGUCAAUGAAAAUGUGUUUCUUCUGUGUAAAAUAUCUUAUCCGUUCAUUCGUAAUGCGUAUGUUCUCGUUCUUCUCCUUCUUUGUGGCUGUAGUACAAGCAGCUUUCUAGUUGUCCUUGGCAUGUUCAGUUUUGUAGCAAGUCAAAAUAUGUCUGAAUGUUAGGUUUCGAAUCUUUAGAUUAUAAUAGCUUCUCUUAUUGCAGGACAUAAGCUUCAUGUUCUGAGGACUAAAUUUAGAAUUAUGAGUUAUUUUCUUUUCUCUUCCUUUCUCUUGCAUCCUAAGUAAACCUGAGGAACAAUGAAGAUACAAAACAUUAUUCUGUUCCUAACGGACUGUUGUUGUUCCUUUUACUACCAACUAUCAUAAACUUGGUUUUGAUAUGAGAUGGAUUCCGGGAGGAGAUGGAUUCUAUAAGAGGUUUUUCUUCAAUGGUGAAUAAUGUGAGCUUCAUAAGAAGAUUAGUAUUGAAUGUCGGAUUCUUGUCCUCGAUUCUGAUUCUUAUUGUAACAUUUCUUUUGAUCAUCAGAUAGAUUUAGCAGUCUAGAAUCUGUAACAAAAAAAAGUCUAUAGUUUCUCUGCUUAUGAAUGAACAAAGAGUUUUAUGAUUUUAGAUUCAGAGAACAGAGGAAAACUGUAAAAUAGAAAGAAAACAAAUGUUUACAUUUCUUUUAUGAACUGUAAAAUAUAUACUGAUGUCUGACCUGGAAUUCAAAUACUCCAUCCUUAUUUACAUAUAUAAUCCGGCUUAGAAGUGCAACAAUGAGUUUAGAAAUGACAUCGGUGAUAAUCCUUUUUUGUGAACAUGGUUUUGUGAAACAAAGAUUACAAACAUGAAUUUGUUGUAUGAACAGUUUACAACGAGAAGUUGUUGUGUAAGUUGGGCUGCAUGGUUUCUUUUCUUCAUUACCACCACCCAAGGAAUCGUUAAAUCUCUGACCAUUCACUUUUUGUCGCCGGAUGUUGUGAGUUAUCAAAUAUGUAUAAUAACAUACAAAAACGCUGCUACUCAUGAAUCUUCUCCAAUGCUAUUUCUUGGCCUGAAAUACCAAAAAACAGAACAAUCAGAGACAAGAAGGAUCAUACAUAAACCCAUAAGAGUAUAAACUUGUGACAGAAUUUAAGAGAAAGGGUAAUUAAAAAACCAAACCUUUUUUAGAUACUUCUUGUGCAGUUUCAUUGCACCAGUACAGGCUUUCUUAGCAUCCAAGUUUCCGGUUAUGUCGUUUAAGAUCUGGGCAAAAUACACAGAUUAAAGAGGACUUCACUGGAUAUGGAAGGGCUUAAAGAAAAAUGAUCUCUCUGCAUUACCUUUACAACGUCAUCAAGUCCUCGAGCUUCGGUCAUUAACUUAGAACUCUUGUCUUUCAAAACACUAGCCACUAAGAAAACAGAAAUAGGCAAAGGACCUUCUGCACUUUUCCCUCCAUUCUUCAUGUUCUCUCUCUCGUACUUCCCACAUUGGUUUAUCGACUUCGGUUUACCUUUGGAAGAACCUUCGGUUCUCUCUCCCUCGAAUUGAGGCUCCUCAUAUAGAGAAUACAUUUCUGGGUCAUACUCUAAUGCCCACAUCAUCUGCUCAAUGCAAAAGAUCCCCGUAAUGGAUGUAUCACACUUUAUUAGUGUGCGGUUAAAGAACAAUGUUUCUGAGUUUAUGAGUUUAUAAAGAGACGAAGAAAAAGGUUACCUCCCAAAGGUACAAGGAGUCACAAAAAGAGAAUUCUCUUCGGAACUGAACCAUUAUCAUUCGAAUCGCAAAGAGAUAGUCACCUCCACCCAAGUUCUCUGCAUUUCAAGAUCCACAGUGGCUUUAAAGAUCUCUCUUGCUCAACCUGUAACGAUUAAUUAUACACUAAAAGUGAGAUGAGAAAGCUUUAGUAGAUACCUAAGUGAUGGUGAAGUUUGGGGUCAAUAAUCUGAGUGAUUGAAGCCAAAUGAGUAAGCUGUGCUUCGACUCCAACUGAUCUCCCCGUGUCCCGAAAAUUCCCUCGCUUUCAAUUUGAAAAAAAGAAGAAAUAGUUAAAUAUUAUCUGACUACAGAGAGAGUCAAGAAAAACUUAUAUGAACACAAAACAUAGAGGUAAGUCCGUAAGUACCAAUCGGCGCAUCAACCGUUCGAAACACCAAAAAGCAUCAGCUUCGUCUUCAAGAAGCAUAAUCAUAGGGGAACAAAGAUCACUCAUUCCUAGUCAGAAGAAACAGUAGAUAGAUCAAAACUUAAGAAUCAAUCAACUUUUCAGGGCUUGAACAAAGGAUAACCGUGUUCUUUCUUUAAAUUUCACUGCUUACCUUGGCAAUAACCAACGUCAUUGUCUAUCCACGCGUAAAGAGCUAGAAUAUCCCAGAGCUUAGACAAAUUCUCCUUUUUCUCAUAGAAUACCAAAGUCCUAUCUGUACGGUUUACAUCAAGACCUGAAAACAAGAGUUGACGCAAAUGAAUUGAAUGAUAUAUUGAAUUAUCUCUCUCAUAACUACUCUCUGUUGUGACCAAGUCCGCGCGAUCACUGACCUAUCUGAUGAAGUGUUAACAGCCAUUGAAUAACUUUCUUGUCCAAAGGUCCGCGGCUUGCAAGAUCUUUGAAGAAAUCCGAACCAUUUGCACCUGAGAUAAUAUUACAAUGCGUAAUUUACCAAGUUCUAGUGAAAGGUGAUUGUUCUACUGUUUUCUUGAGCAAAAGAUACAAAUUUUUACCUAAAUUUGUUUCUUGUAGUACAAUAGGAUCGUAAAUGGGUUCACCCUUGUUGGUAAUUACAGGUGCGGUAAUGAAUCCACCACUUCCGAUAACUGGAAACAUUUGUUUACAUUCCUCCUUCCAAGAAGCAUACUGCAAUCUGAAAGAAAAUAUCCAUACUUCAAAAAAAAAAAAAAAGAUAUAGUGCAAAGCGAAUGCAAGAUGAAUAAGAUCUUUCAUAAACUUAUAUAUGGGUGAAAAAGAACACCUUCUACGUUGUCGGAUUUGCUCUCUUUCUUCAAAUGUGCUCUUUGGAUCAUAACAACCAAGUAAGAAUUCCCAGACUUCUCCUCUAAUUGAUGGAUGGAUUCCCUAGACCAGUCAAGAAAGCAAACAACAGAACUGGAAUGAUAAGAAAACACAACUGAUACCGUGUACUCUUGAUUUCUUGAUUGAAAUGACAAAAAGGCAAGCAAGAGGAUUAAAAUGUAAGUGAUUUUUUUUGCAUGGCCAAAUUUAGUUAAUUUUGCAGUCUUUGGAAACAAUGUUUUUGAGACUUACCCCUCGUUGGAUUCGACUUAGAGUCUUGCCAAUAUCGAGGAACCCUUCUGUUGUAAAUGCAGCCUGCCAUUUUCUUACACUUAGAGUUUUACCAGGCUGCACAAACAAAAUUAAGCAAAACGGACAGGUAGUGUCAGCAAAUUGAGACUCUGUCGUUCUCUAAAACAUAAUCAUGUGAUGCUACUGAGCAUGAUCAGUGCUAGAAAGGUGAACCUAAACAAUCAGCAUCAGAAAAACAUUAACUCUAAGCAAGUCAUAGCACUAUUGAUGUAUCUGCAAUUCUCUAAACACAAUCAUGAGAAUAAUAAACCUAAAAGAGCACUAAAAUCAAUAAUCCCCAUUAUAUAUAAAUCAGCAUCAUAAGACAUAAACAUGUCAUAGCCUAAAUCAUAACUAGUAAAUGCUCUCAUCGGUAAAAGUUCCAAAUCGAAGAAGAAAAAAUCAGGCCAACAAUAAUAAAGCAAUGCUAAUAUUUUAGCUGAAAAAUUCAUUGCAAGGGAGAAAGAAGAAUCUAAGCAACAAGACAAAAGAAUCUGAAAGCUCCCAGGGAAUCGCAAACGCCAAUCUCAUUCAUUAAUAACGAAUCCAAUGGUGAACCAAAAUCCAAGAAAAAAAGAAGAAAUUAUUAGGGAAAGGGACAAACUUUGAUCUUGAAUUUGGUAUUGGGGACAUCAUUGCACUCAGGACGAAUCUGGUAAUAAGAAUCUGCUGGUUCUGCGAACGCUCCCCACAUUUUUUAGCUAAUUUUUUCAAUCCCCUCCCCAAAAACAAAUAAAAAUGAAAACUUUCCCGGGAAAAUCAAAUGAAAAAUCCAAACAAAAAAUGGGUUUUUUUUUUUCUACAAACAAGAUUGGAGAAGAAAGAAAGAAAAAAAACUGGAACCCUCUCAAAAGAUCAAUUCUUUCUUUGUCGAAUUUUUGGAGAAGAAAGAAAAGAAAAACAAAAAGAGAUCUUUAAGAGGGGUCCAGUUUUUGAGAUUAAAGAAAAGAUCAAAGACAGAACUUUUCUUUUUGGUUUGCAAUUAUUUUACUAAUCUAAUCUAAUUAAUCAUCAACCAUGUUUCGUUUUACAUUUUUUUAAAAUAAUUGAGUGGUCUCUGGAGAAGCAAUCAUUUUUGAUGGUGAUUAAGAGGUGUUGAUCGUUUGGUCAAGCUCAUCGAUCUUUCUUUAUUUAUCUUUCUCUCCUCCGUUUUUAGUAAACGAGACAAGGUUGCGUUUGUUGACAUAGUUUUUAGUUUAGUCAAUCGGUUUAUGAUUUGAUUUUGGUUUGAAGUUUUGGGUUUAGGGCAAACCGGGGUCAAGUUUAGGGCAAACCGGGGUCAAACCCUCUAUAUAAGAAAGAGUCUUAUGUAGAGGGUUUGAACCCCCGGUUUACUAGCUAAACCCUAAUUACUAGUUAACAUAACCGGAAUUCUAUACUUCAAUAGUUUGGUUUCCAUCCGAUUUGAAGCAAUUGUGUUGGAUGAUUUAGUUUUUGUUAGAACUAAAACCGGUGACAAAAUUAGCUUCUGUUUAAGUAUUUUUGAUUUGGUUCGGUCUUUAUUUGUUUUUUAUUCUCCAAAACCCUAGAAAACUAGGUUUGAUAAACAUUGGAAGAAACUAAUUAGGUCACAUAAACCACAUAGUAGAUUUUUCGCCGAGUGAAGUUGUGUCUUGUUUUGACGUAUUCAACAACUCCGACAUUAGUCGUUAGAGAGGUUUAAGUCACUCAUCGUUUCAGCCAAACGACAAAAGUAGACUAAGCCACCACAAGACUUAAAAAAACAACUAAUUUUAUUUAGGAACAAAAUAAUGUAAUUGUAUGCAAGCGAUGUCGUUGAUAAAGAAAAAAAAAGUAUGUAAGCGAUGUAAACUAUAUUAUGAAAAAAAUAACAGAAAAAAAAAUAAAAGAAAACUAAACAAUGAAACAACUAGAUAGGCAUUGUCGAAUCGUCCUAUACAAUCACCAAUUACGCCUGAUCCUCUCUUGUUGCCCAAUAUGCGUAAAAUACAUAGAUGGCGAAACAUAUAAAGCCACCAAAAACGCCAAAAAAACCUAUAAACGCCAUUAGUCCCAAGCCUUCCAUUCUCCCUUCUCCUUUUUGUGUGUAUACUGUAUUGAAAGCCGAAAGAAAAAUAUAAUCAAUCAAAAAGAAGAGGUUUUAUAUUAAUAAUUAGCUUCGAACUAUAAGGAAAAGUUCGAUACUAGUGCUGACCAAAAAAAUGGAAACUUAGAUACGACUAGUGAAUAAUAUAUCUUACUAUUACCUCUUGUAUCUAAAGAAAUGGCAAAUUAUAUAGCGAGUAAGAAGAUUGACCUUUUAGGGAAAAAAAAAGAGAUUUACCUUUAUAAAUAAAUGGAAACUAUAUAAAAGUUCUUAAACACGCACGUACAUUCAAUAUAUAUGCAUAUCUUAAACAUGACAUGUUAGGGUUAAAUGUUUCCAAUUGGGAAUCUUGUAUUAAAUAUACAAAAUUCGGAAAAGUUUAUAGUAGAAAGGCAUGUCAUAUACCCAAAGAUUUAGUGAGUCAUAAUUCCAAAGGUUAUUUAUGUGUCGCAGGCUAAGAAAAUAGAAAGCCGGUAAUAGUUAGCAAUCCAAAGAUGAAAGAUACAUGAAACAUAAGGAAAACUUUUGAAUUGGAAUAUCAUAACUAAUGAUUUUGAGUCUAACAAAUGUUAACGUUACAUACACAAGAAUUUAAUAUCAUAAGAGAAAAAAAAAAAAAUUGUCACUAACAAUUCUCUUUAGAAAAUAUUCUGACCUAUGUAGAGUCUAAAUAGUAAUCGGAAAAUCUGACUGAAUCUCUCUGAAUUGUUAAAUCGAGUUAAAAUUUUUAGUGAUUUUAAGCUGAAUUUAGUUGAAUUUAUACAUUUGUAAAUGGUGACGGUUGAAUCUAGCUAGCUCAUUUUUUUUUGUGAUUUUUGACAAAAUUUUAAAAAAUAAUGAAAACUUUAACUAAAAAAAUAUCAUUCAAUAAUUAUGAAUAUUAAUAGAAUAACUAAAAAUUAUGUACACAAAAUAGAUAAAAUUAUAUAAUGGUCUAGUUAACUUUUAUAUCAAUAAAUAAAUACUAAAAUUAAUACUAUAUAUAAAUAAGAUAUUGGUUAGCAAAAUUGAGUUAGUCUUCCAUAUUAAAAAUUUGAGCUAUUAAAAUUAUGUAAAUAAUUAAUAAAAACCUUUGUCAAAGCAUUAUUGAAAAAUUAAUUUCAAAAAUUAACAUGAUAAUAAAAUAUAGAUUAUCUAAUUGAUUUUUUUUUUCUAUUGUUCUCUAGUUGUUUUAAUCAAUACUAUGAUGAGGAUGAGUGUUUGAGUAAGAAAAUUAAGAAAAUUUUGAUAUUUUAAAUAAUAGUUUUAGCAUAGUUAUGAGUUGUUUUGCAAAAUUUUAAAAAUUCAUUUUAAAUUAUCUAAAAGUUAUUAAUAUUAUCCAAAAUUAUUUAUAAUUAUCCAAAAAUGAAUUCGAAUCUUGUUUAUUUUGGUAGUGAUUUUAUGUAUCUGAAUUAUUCAUAUAUUGUAUCCAUAAAUCUGACUCAUUUUAAAAUUAAAAUUUGAUUUGUAAUUUCAAAAAGAUUUUAUUUUAAGUUGUGUACUCGUUAUUAUCCGAAUUUUUAUCAAAAAUGAACAUAUCUACGUAUUAUUAGUUAGUGUUGAAAAAAUCUUUUAAAUCUGACUGAAUUUAGUUUUAUGCAAAUAGUAACUGUAAAAUUGUUGAAUUUAGUUGAAUAUGACUGAAUGUUUUUUGUUUUUUAUGUGUUACUAUUUAAACCCGUAGUUUAUUUGUACCUCUUACCUAGCUAGCUUUCUCACGUUGUGGCUUUUAAUCUGGUCUGGAGAAAAAAAAAUAUAACUAUGCACGGUCACCUUGUGACCUACGGCGGUUAGGUGAGUACCACAUUUGUCAACAAUGUGGUAAACAGAAAACUGAUCUAUGGUGCAUAGCCAGCGAAACAAAAUCAUAAAAACAUUUUUGAGACUUUUCUAAAUGAUUGUGUGAAGGAUUAUAUGACUCAUUUUCGAAAAUAUAUAUAUACAUAUAUUCCAAUAAAAAUAUGAAUGUCCAUAAAACUCACAUGCCAUAUGUAAUUUGUUACAUAAGCAUAUCUCAACAAUUAAGUGAAUAACAUAUAUUACAUAUGACUGAAAAAAAUCUACCAAAUAUUAAUAUUCUAGAAGGAAAAAAAUUAUUGGAAACCAAAAGAAUGAAUAAGGAUUGUUAUUUAUAAUCAACCAAGAAAAUUGGUGACCAUAGACAAAGGAACUAAACAAAGCCCCUUUUUCUUCAAGUCUAUUGAUAAUCCACCUUGGUUUUGCACUGCACUCUCUCUUUUCUCCUAUGCAAAACAUUAUCGUAGGGUAAAUUUUUGUUAGAAAUAUCAUAUCGAUCGCAUAUAUUUCGUAUAACAUAUGAUUGAUCAAUUCUAACGUUAACUAUACAAAGUUAAAUAUUAUAGCUAGUUAAUGUGUUUCUUACAUUAUUUGUGUCAUCAGCCACAAUACCACCCCCGUGUCUAGUGUUGUUGUCCUGUAGGUUCAUCAUGCUAUAGACCUAUAAAACGAAAAAAAAAUCCCAAAUUGUUAAUUAGAUAAUAACUGUUUAAAUAUUUAUGGACUAAAUUAAUAUAAUGUACAAUUGACUUGUUAAAGCUGAUUAUUAUAUACAUUGAUGUCAAAUAGUAGGAACUUAAGACAUGGCACAGAUUGGUGCAUAAGUUUUUGGAUUAAUUUUUAUAAGUAUAUUUCAAUUAUGAGUCAAAACCCAAAAUUUUAAUGAUUGCUUGCCUCUCUUGGCAAAAAGAAAAAUAAAUUAUUCCCUAUCAUUGACGUCUAACCUUAUCAUCAAUCCAAUAUUGUCCUAAAAAAUAUAAUCAGCAUAGGACUAAUAUAGAUAUCCCAUUUAUAUAUUUGUAUCAUGGCAUAUUUACUCAUAUACAAUAUAUAUAGUUGGUCGUCGACUGUUUGUGCAAAACGAAAAAAAAGAAGUAAUUAAUCACGUUCUUAGAAAAAUAUAGAAGGAACCUAAAAUGGAUAAUGCCUGAAAAAAUCAUAUUCACCGCAUAUGACAUACCUAUAGUCUACUUAAAAUUUUCAUGAAGUAGUCUUAUAGUGUUUUCAUGAUUUGUAUAGUAAAAAAUCGAUCUUUUGUGUUUAUCACUUCGGCGAUAACCACUAAACCAACAUCAUUUGGUAAUUAAAAUCAUUAUAACAAUACAUACAACAAUAUAUAUUCAUUUAGAGAGAGAGAGAGAGAGACUGACGUUAGGGCUAUGAGAAGGAGAAGAGGCAGUGUCUUCAAGAUCAUGACGACGACCAAAAGGAAUCUCUCUAUUUCUCGUCCUCUUGAUGUCCAAAUUAGAUCCUUCUUGCUUCGACACGUGGAGGGUCUUCUUAGUGGCCACGAACGACGCUGCAUCGGAGACGGAGGAAGAGCUGCAAUCUCCGACGUCAACUAUGCUUGAAGAAGCCUCGAAGAAAUCCUCAAAGUACAUCGUCCAGCUACUUUCUUCUGGAUUUUGGUCGCCUGUAAACGUCGCCGUUUCAUGUUUUCCCAUAAUGAAGGCAUUGUUCAUUGAACUCUCCAUGAAAAAUUUGGAAGAGAAAAAGAAAAAUGGUUGGUUUGUAAUUUGGUAGCAACAGAUGAAAGGAAACAUGCGUGAGGGAUUAUUAUAUACAUAGUGAAGUAAAUAGUGAAUUAAUCAAAUUAGUAUUUAAAAUUGUUUUUUAACGAAUUAAUAUUAUUUUGCUGUCAAUGAUGGGGAAUGUAAUGUUGGUUUGGAAUCUUGGUUUGUGGGGUCGCUCUAUCUGUUGUUUCUCUAUUUGGUUGGAAUAAAAGUUGGUUUGAAAUGUUCAAACCAGUUUAAUACUGUUAUCCUGCAAAUUAAAACAUAAAUGAAUUUUUAUAUUAAAAAAAAAAAAUCGAGCUUGAUUUAUGAAAGUUUUAUGAAUAGUAUAAAUUGUCAUUGUUGAAUUAUCUAAAAUGUUAACAUCAAUAAACUAUAAUAUUUUUUAGUGAACGUUCUUAAAUAUAUUUUCAACAUAUUAAGAUAUAAAAAAAUGAUAUGUAGAAUUAUAUGACUGAAUCAUUGUACAGUAUUGUUGGGGUCGGAUUCCAUCCUUUAGCGCCAAGCCAGACUUAGAAUACUUCGGGAGUCUUUCGGCGAUCGCCUCGGGGUAUCGCAUCAUUCACCUCGGGAUAUCCCGAACAAGACAUCGAAAGCACCCGAGCCCAAUUGCCUCGGGGGUACCCGAGCCCAUCGCCUCGGGAGUUUCUGAGCCCAUCGCCUCGGGGACACCCGAAGAAGCCAUCCUAGAGUGCCCGAGCCGUUUCUUCCUGUGUACCCGAGCCAGUUGCACAAGUUCCCCGAGGCGAAGUCUUCAUCGUCGCCCGAAGCAAAGUCUUAGUAAAUAUUCUUCUUUAAAGGUAUCAUUUCCAAGCAUAUUAUCAUUUCCGAAAAAGAAGGAUCAUUUCCGAUAAACUCGGAAAUGAUAAGGAAGAAUCUCGAAGGAUCAACUCAAAUCAGGAAAUCUUCCAAAAGACUCCGAAGAAUAAGGAAACUAUCCUAAUCCGCGAUAUUCUAAGCCGACUUCAAGAUAAAUGGAAAUCUUCCGAGAAUAUCGCUGGAGAGGCGGUUCAUCACCCCUAUAUAAAGAGACUCAAGGCUCUCGCAGAAGGCAAGCAAUAUCGCUCUAGAAAGUACACUACGCAAAGCUCUCACAGCACGAACACUUUUUCUUUUACGAUCAAACUCUUGUACGAUCAAAAUCAUCUUUUCAUUAAUAAUAUCAAGAACACCAUCUUUGGUAUCAAUCGUUUCUGUUGUUCUUUGAGAAUUCACGAUUAUCGUAUCCCUAAAAUAAAACCCUAGACAAAUCUUGAUUGUGUUAGUUUCGACCUCCACAGUUUGGCGCCGUCUGUGGGGAUACUUUAGAAUUCUCUUACCCUAAGACGCAGAACUCGAUUACUGAAAAGCACGAUGACCGAAGACGGUCGUCAGACACCACCAGCUGGAGGAGGAAUCCCGAACCCUCCGAACCCUGAGAACCCUCAACCCGCCGAUCCGACGAUCCUAGCGACUCUAGCCGAACUGAAAGAUCUGAUGGUUAAAUUCCAGAAGAAAACUGACGACCAAGAGAAAGCCAACCAAACCUUGGCGCAGCGAGUCGACGAAAUCGCAACACGCGGGCAACAAAAAACCACACGUUUCCAAACUCGGCCACCACGAGCUCGGAGGGACUUGCCUGGCAUCAACCCAACGAGACUCACGUUCGCGACACCAACCGGCAACACCAGAGUCGCAACCCGAGCCGACCAUGUCAGGCGCGAGGACCAGGAUGAUCCCACCGAGCCGGACGCAGUGGACUUGACAGACGAGCCAGAUCUUCAGGAUGAGCGUACCCGAGCCGGAGCUAAUUCCGCCGAGCGAACAGACCUUACUGAUGACGAAGAAACUGAAGAAAACAUAAGGUGGGCCGAAGAAUCCGAAAGAGAAGACGAGCUAAGCAAGAUCCGAGCCUCCCUAGCCAAGGCGGAAGCUGAUAUGAAGCUCGUCAAAACCCAGAUACAUAGCGUCUCAUCCUCCGCGCCGAACAUCGACCGAAUUUUGGAAGAAUCUCGGAAUACGCCUUUCACCAAAAGAAUUUCUGAGACGACGAUGUCCAACCUGGGAAAGUUCAGAAUCGACUCCUACAACGGAUCAACCGACCCGAAGUGCCACAUUAAAUCGUUCGUGAUAUCUGUGGCCCGAGCCAGGUUCAAGCCCGGAGAAAAGGAUGCGGGUCUGUGCUUACUGUUCGUGGAACACCUAAAAGGACCCGCAUUAGAGUGGUUUUCAAGAUUGGAACGAAACUCGAUUGAUAGUUUCGACGAGCUGUCGACAUUGUUCCUCAAACAAUACUCCGUGCUCAUCGACCCCGGAACUUCCGACGCGGAUCUAUGGUCCUUAUCUCAACAGCCCACCGAGCCAUUAAGGGAUUUCCUCAAGACCUUCAAAUCGACGCUAGCCAAGGUCGAAGGAAUUACAGAUGUAGCAGCUCUCUCGGCUUUGAAGAAAGCUCUCUGGUACAAGUCAGAAUUCAGGAAAGAGUUGAACCUGUCUAAACCAACAACAAUUCGUGACGCGCUGCAUCGAGCCUCGGAUUUCGUCGCCCACGAAGAAGAAAUGGCGCUACUAGCAAAGAGGCACGAGCCGACGAAACAGGCGUCCCGAGCCGAGAAAACCGAGAAAACUGAGAAAGCCCAAGCGGCACCUCCAAUCCAGAAGAAGACGCGUGAGAGCAGUACAUAUACGCAUCACGAAGGGCGCAAUUUCUCAGGAUACCAUAGCUACCAAAUCGACACACCCCGAGGCCGUGGCCGCGGCAGAGGCCGAGGCCGUGGGCGGGGAAGAGAGUCCUUCACCUGGACAAGGGAUCAGCCACCGAGCAAUGAUCAAGAAUAUUGCGAACACCACAAAAUUUUCGGCCAUCAUACCUCGAGAUGCCGAAGCCUCGGAGCCAAGUUAGCAACCAAAUUCCUAGCUGGAGAGCUCGGGACAAACGUUACUCUUAAGGAUCUCGAGCCAGAACCGGAGCCCGAGCAGACCAACCCAGGAAGAGACCCCGAACCAAGGAACCAGGAGUCUCAGAAAAGAACCCGGGGAUCGGAAGACGAAGACCGAGAUGGUACGCGGCAGAAGGUUUUUACUAUAAUGGGUGGAUCGCCAUACUGUCCUGACACUGUAGCGGCAAUCAAAGCUUAUCAACGCCGAGCCGAGACACCUAGCAACUGGACAAGACCCUUCGAUCGACCUAACGACGUGAUCACAUUCGAAGAGAGCGAGACAAACGGGCUCGACAUGCCUCAUAACGAUCCAAUCGUCGUCACAUUAGCGAUAGGAGACCACGAUAUUUACCGAGUGUUAAUUGACACCGGCAGCACCAUUGACGUGAUCUUUCGCGAAACGCUCCAACGAAUGAACAUCGACAUGUCACAGGUGAUUCCGACCCCGAGGCCUAUCCUCGGAUUUUCAGGGGAAACUUUGAUGACGCUUGGGACCAUCCAACUACCAGUCCGAGCCGGCGGGGUGACAAAGAUAGUCAACUUCUCAGUCACCGAUCGACCUACCAUCUACAACGUCAUAAUGGGAACCCCGUGGUUAAAUCUAAUGCGAGCUGUCGCAUCAACAUAUCAUCUGUGUGUCAAGUUCCCGACCCCUAAUGGCGUGAAAACAAUUUGGGGCAGUCAGAAAAAUUCUCGGAUGUGUUUCAUGGCAGCACACAAACUCCGAAACCCUGUCACUGAAGUAAAAGCUGAAACGGAUCACAAGAAAUCGAAACUUGGCCGGAGUGAAGAGAAGGCUAUAUCUAAACAGUUAUAGCAAUUACAGAUCGAGGAGGCGCGCGAGGAGAAGAAGCCUACCUCGGAUCCUGUAAUCUCCAUUAGCCUCGACGACGAACGGCCCGAACGAUGUGUGGAAUUUGGCAGCGACUUAACCGAGGAGCUCAAGACCGAGCUCAUCUCAUUCCUCAAGGAGAACAUCGACACCUUCGCCUGGUCGGCUGAAGAUCUACCUGGGGUAAGCAUCGACGUAAUCUGCCACGAGCUGAAUGUUGACCCAUCUUUCAAGCCCAUCAAGCAGAAGCGAAGAAAAUUGGGUCGGGAUCGCGCAGAUGCAGUGAACGCCGAAGUUGAAAAACUCCUGAAGAUCGGCUCGAUCUCUGAAGCAAGGUAUCCGGACUGGUUAGCAAAUCCUGUCGUGGUUAAAAAGAAGAACGGCAAGUGGAGAGUUUGCGUCGAUUUCACCGAUCUGAACAAAGCUUGCCCUAAAGACAGUUUUCCGCUCCCACAUAUCGAUCGUUUAGUGGAAGCAACCGUGGGAAAUAAGUUGCUAUCAUUCAUGGACGCUUUCGCAGGAUACAAUCAAAUUCUCAUGCACCCCGACGAUCGCGAGAAGACAGCAUUCAUCACAGACCGAGGUAUCUACUGUUACAAAGUCAUGCCCUUCGGACUCAAGAACGCCGGCGCGACGUAUCAGCGACUCGUCAACAGAAUGUUCUCCGAACAGCUCGGGAAGACGAUGGAAGUUUAUAUCGACGACAUGUUAGUCAAAUCUCUUGAAGAAAGCGACCACAUAGCCCAUCUAUGCGACUGUUUCCGUCAGCUCAACAAGCACAACAUGAAGCUUAACCCGGCAAAAUGUCGUUUCGCGGUAAAGUCUGGAGAAUUCUUGGGAUAUCUCGUAACACACCGAGGCAUCGAGGCGAACCCGAAACAGAUCGAUGCUCUACUAAACAUGCCCUCACCGCAGAACAAGCGCGAAGUCCAACGUCUCACCGGGAGAGUCGCAGCCUUGAACCGAUUCAUCUCGCGAUCCACUGACAAAUGCCUGGCUUUCUACGAUACUCUGCGCGGGAACAAUAAAUUCGAAUGGACCGAUCGCUGCGAAGAAGCUUUCCAGGAACUGAAGAAGUAUUUGGCUAAUCCACCGGUGUUAGCGAAACCAAUCCCGGGCGAGCCGUUAUUCCUGUACAUCGCAGUCUCCGACACGGCUAUAAGCGGAGUCAUAGUCAGGGAAGACAGAGGGGAGCAGAAGCCGAUUUUUUACGUCUCGCAAACUUUCACCGACGCGGAAACACGCUACCCGCAAACUGAAAAACUCGCCCUCGCCGUAGUAAUGUCAGCUCGGAAGCUACGGCCAUAUUUCCAGUCUCACUCGAUUGUCGUCAUGGCGCCCGUAUCGCUCCGAACCAUCUUGCACAGUCCAAGCCAAUCGGGACGCUUAGCCAAGUGGGCAGUAGAACUCAGCGAAUAUGACAUCGAAUACAGAAACAAAACAUGCGCGAAAUCUCAAGUCCUGGCCGAUUUCAUCAUCGAGCUGCCAACAGAGAACGUCCGAGAAGAGUCACCCAACGCUGUUUGGAUCCUCCACGUCGACGGCUCAUCCUCAAAACAAGGUUCUGGCGUCGGAAUCCGCCUCGCAUCACCAGAGGGUGAAAUCCUUGAACAAUCCUUUCGGCUAAAUUUCGACGCGACCAACAACGUGGCUGAGUACGAAGCGCUGAUAGCAGGACUUAAGCUGGCUCGGGGACUUAAGAUCAACAAGCUGCGAGCCUUUUGCGACUCCCAGCUCGUGGCUAAUCAAUUCAAUGGAGAAUACGCGGCUCGCGACGAACGAAUGGAAGCGUAUCUUGCUCUCACGCAAGACUUGGCGAAACAGUUCGGAGAGUUUGAGUUGAACAGAAUCCCACGAGGUGAGAACACAUCGGCCGAUGCCUUAGCGGCUCUAGCUUCAACCUCCGACCCAAAUCUGAAGAGGAUCAUACCGGUUGAGUUCAUCGAAAAGCCGAGCAUUGAAGAUAAUAGCAAAGAUCAAGUUCUAACAGCUCGGGAAACGGAAGAACCGGAAGAAAUGGACAUCGAACAGCUGGACCAGCAAACUACGGACGCAACCGAGCCCGAAUACGGAAGCGACGCCAAAUGGAUCGGAGCCAUCCGAAGCUACAUCGCCGACGGAGAAGUUCCUACUGAAAAAUGGGCAGCUCGGAAGCUUAAGGCCAAAGCGGCUCGGUAUACUCUGAUCGACGGAGAGCUCUUUAAAUGGCGAUUUUCUGGUCCUCUCCUUGUCUGUGUCGAAGGAAACGAAGCUCGGAGAGUCAUGGAAGAAGUACACGGCGGAUCUUGUGGAAACCAUUCCGGCGGGAGAGCCCUAGCCAUAAAGAUCAAACGCCACGGAUAUUUUUGGCCGACGAUGGUCAAAGACUGCGAGAAAUUCUCUCAACGGUGUGAUAAAUGCCAGAGGCACGCACCAACCAUUCAUCAACCCGCCGAGCUCCUCUCUUCCAUCACUUCGCCUUAUCCGUUCAUGCGAUGGUCCAUGGACAUCAUCGGACCUCUACACAACUCCAAACAGAAGAAACUCGUCCUCGUACUAACAGACUACUUCUCCAAAUGGAUCGAGGCAGACUCCUACGCCAGCAUCAAAGACGCGCAGGUCGAAAACUUCGUCUGGAAGAACAUCAUAUGCCGCCACGGGAUACCUUACGAGAUCGUUACAGAUAACGGAUCGCAGUUUAUUUCGGCUCGGUUCAAAGGAUUCUGCGAGAAAUGGGGAAUUCGCCUCAGCAAGUCUACGCCUCGGUAUCCUCAGGGGAACGGACAGGCCGAAGCGGCAAACAAGACGAUUCUCGACGGAAUAAAAAAGCGCCUCGACGCAAAGAAAGGCCGCUGGGCCGACGAAUUAGAAGGAGUACUCUGGUCACACAGAACCACGCCACGGCGAGCCACGGGAGAAACACCUUUCGCCCUUGUCUACGGCACGGAGUGUGUGAUUCCCACCGAAGCCGAGAUCCCGGGACUAAGGAGACGUUUUCUCCCCGAGCAGGAAAAUUCCAACACGCAGAUGAUGCUGGACGAGCUGGACUUAGUUGACGAAAGAAGAGAUUCGGCCUUGGUUCGAAUGCAGAACUAUCAGAAUGCAACGGCUCGGUACAACAACUCUCACGUUAAACAUCGCCGUUUCCACGAAGGAGAUCUCGUACUGCGCAAAGUUUUCCAGAAUACCGCCGAGCAGAACGCAGGCAAACUCGGCGCGAAUUGGGAGGGACCUUACGCGAUCGCAAAGGUAAUCCGUCCCGGCGUCUACGAACUCAUCAACAUGAACGGCAAAGCGGUACCUAGAUCCUGGAACGCAAUGCAUCUAAGGAAAUACUACCGCUAAAAACCUAAGGUACGCAUGUACUCGAACUACGGGGUGACUUGAUCCCUGAAAAGGGUACGUAGGCAGCUCGUCCUCGGACGAGUUCAGCUACCCCCCCUAAUUAAAAAAGGGGGGGAGUGGGUCCGUAUAUCCAUACUCCCACUCAAAACUUUAUCAAUUAUACGUUUCCUAUACUCCUAUUCAAAUUUUAUCAAACUAUAUUUCUAAGUAUACACUUCGGGUUUUUAUCCGAUCAAAUCCACCUCGGUCUUUACCCCGAAACUCGCCUCGGGAAAUCAACACGGUCUAAACUCCGUUCGUUUCGUUUGGGCGAUGGCCACGCCCGCGAACUAAAUUCAUCUACACCUCUACGGUUACAGCGCGCUAUAUAAGCAUCCAAGACAAUUCGGAAGGAGAUAUCCUCCCAUAAAGAAGUUGUCUUCAGAAAACCCAGUUCACUUCUACACUGGUACCCCAGUUCGCUUCUAAGCACUGGCAUCGACUAUAUCAGCUCGGGUCGCAACCGACAAAGAUUAGUCCUACUUACCAAAACCCGGUUUACUUAACACUGGUACACGAUUUGCUUGGUUCGAAAAGUGAUUCGAAAAGCUCUGAGACUAGAAAUUUAUCGAGAACAAAAUAUAUUCAUUAUCAAUAGUGGAUAAAGCCGUCCAGGCAUCAAGUCUUACAAAAAUCGAGAAUUAAAAGGAAUGCGCCACGGAUCUACUCAUCCCGCUCCUCCGGAACAUGUGCGACUUCGGAGCUCAGAUUCGUGCCGGCCUGAUCCCUAAUACCAAUUUCCGCGGCAACCCCUUCGAUUGACCUGUUUCCGAAAUUAUCUUCAACAGAAUCCGGGGAAGCCGGAGGAAGCCUCAGAUCCUCUCGCAGCUCGGUUCCGAUCCGCACAAACUCCUCCUCGGCAUCUCCAUACUCAGCUUUCCACUGGAGAACUUCCUCCUUCUCAUCCUCGACAUUUUUGCCGCCUUCAAGGUCGGCGAUCAAUUCAGCGUUAGCUCUGGCCUGGACGAGGAACAUGUAGCGCUCGGACGCCUUCCCAUACAGGUCCAUCUUCGCUUCUAUCGCCUUGACCUUCUUGGCGAACUCCUUCCUAGCCUUUUUCCUCUCCCGACGUACCUCCUUCUCCCGAAGCGAUUUCUCCUCGGAGAAUAGUCGGUUCAAGCGUUCGAUUUCGGCUUCCAUCUUCCGACGAAGACGAAGACCGUCCUCAGCCACCUUUAAUCGCUCGACCUUCUCUGCCUUAGCCAACGCUUCGGCUUCCCGCCUGGCCUCAUCCGCCUCGGCAACCUUAGUCGCCGCCUCGGCAAUCUUGGCCUCUGCCUCGGCCAUCUUGGCAUCGGCCCCAGCAAUUCUGACCUCCGCCUCGGCUCGGGAAGUCUCAUAUCUACGGUUCGAGGAGUCGUAGGCUCGAACCAUGCGGUUCAUCGAAUGGAAAGCCUGGAACGCAAAAAACUAAAGUUAGUACUAAGAAUUUUAAAAGGCUUAGGAAGCUUCGGAAAUAAACCAUUACCUUCAGGAAUCCCGCAGCAGUUUCGCGGUAAUUUUCAGCCUCCAGCAAGGCCUCGGGCGCAGCUAGGGUCGGACCCGAGCAAGAAGCGAUAAGAUUAGCAGAUGCCGUCUUAUCUUUGUAGAUGGGAGCCUCGGUGCGACUCCUUUUCUCUUUCCUACGACCUCCCGAGCUAUCACCUCGGGGCCUCUUAACCUUCGCCUUAGCUUUCGCCUCGGCACCAAGAGCGACAAUAGCCGAGGUCCCUACCACCUCGGGAAUAUUGGUCACAGGAGAGAUUCGCUCAGCCGCCUCGGGCAUGAUCGAAACCAUAUCCCGAGCUUCAUUGGUCGCCUCGACGCCGACGACUUCAAGACUGGCCUCGGGAGGAGUAGGAGGUCUGAAGUUUGCCUCCAAAACGGCUUUUUCCUUAGCCGCUUUCUUUUCAGCAGCCUUCCUGGCUCUCAGAGAUUGCGCAGCUCCUUGCAUUUCGAUGAGGUGAUCUAGACGGUGGUCGGAUGAUUCUGAAGAAGAUUGGCAGGGAGCUCCGUGCAACAAACGCAAGGCUCUCUCAAUUCUUUCUUGGGAGAAGUGUUUCGUCCAAUCACACUUCCGAGCUAUCAGUUCGUCGUGCAGAUCUAAAAAGCCUUCGGGGACGUCUUCGAGAAAUGACGGAUUCCGAUCUGCGAAAACAAGAAAAUAUUUAGUGAAGUUCAAAGCAAAACAAAACAUCAAGUAUGGCUUCGGGCGUAGUACCAAUCGUUCUCCACUUUCCAACAACUUUCCCUAAGUAGUCCUCGUGGACACUAUACUCAUUCAAGGCUACGAAGAAGAAAUGGUCAGUGUACUUCUCGUCCUUGCUCGGGAAACCACCAAUAACCCUUCUAUUUGGCCUCGGGGAUAUGUAAAAUCUCUCGACGGGGCCAGGUAUGCGCCGAAUCUCUAGGAGAUUCCUUAAGUGGCUAAGGCCGACAAGGUUGACCGUCUCAAUACUCCGGACUAGAAUCCCUAUGAGAUGGCGCAAGCCUCGGGUUGUGAUCUGAGACAGAGCGAUCUUGUACGACCAUAGAAACGCCAAUACAGGCCUCGGAAUCGGAAUCUAUAAGUAGCAAUGGUAGAAGAACCCCUCAUAAAGGGUGAAAAACCCCUCGGGUGGAUCAUCCGCUCGCUCAUUCGAAGUUGGAAGUCUUAGUUCAAUCCCUUCACUAAAACCAAAUCGAGCCUUGAGAUCCCGAAGCGAAUCCUCCGUGCAUAAAGUGGAACCCGGAGGAUCAGGUUUCCUAGCUUUUUUGGCUCGUUUUCUCUUCUGUUGACCCUUGGCUGCUUGGAUUUUAGCUUGGAGCAACCUAGCCGCCUCGUCAGAAUCGUAGUGAACCUCCUCGGCCUUAACAGGAAGUAGAGGCGCCUCGGGGGCAUUUCGCCAGCAUGAAACCCCAGCUUCAUCAGCUGCCGGUGGAUGGACUUUCCUCCUGCUUAAAGUCGCCUCGGGAUCAUCAGGCAAAUCCUGAUCCCGAGCCACAUCUGCAACCGCAUCUUCCCGAGCGAUGAAACGGCUCGGGUCUUCUUCCCGCGAAGCCGACUCUGCAUCACUUCCACGGUACAACACGAUCUGAUGGUCCGUGGUAUCCGCCUCGGGGUCGCUCGAGGAACUCCAGACCAUCUUUCUCUUGUAGACGGGAAGAUGAAUGUCGCCUCGGGGCGAAUCGCUGGAAUCAGAUAGAGACAUUUUCUGGCUCGGGAGAUUGGAGAAUUUUAUCGGAGGAACAAAGCCCGAUAGAUCGGAGAAAUCAACCUAGAUCUAAUGACGGCGGCGCUACGACGGAAGUAUAACGGAAAAAUAGAGAAAAUGCAAAAAAACUCAAGAUCAGAGAAAGAAGAGAACGAACCUCGAAAAAUUUCCUUUGCAGUUGCGAAAUGAGAGAAUGAGUCCGAGACUUAACAUUUAUAGGGACUUAAGGCGCGUCGGGUACGAACCAAAUAAAAACAUCGCGUUCGCGUCUAAGGCGCGUCGGGCACGCACAAAUCAAAUAAGAUACUUCGCAUCCGCACCAAUCUCGGGAAUCAGCGAAAGGACCUUUCCACUUCUCGAGAAGGAAUCCCAACCGUCACACGCCAAGAGAAGAUGAAACGACAGAGGAAUUCAAACCGCUAAAGGGACCGAACUAUUCAAAGUAAACGGCUCGGCCUAAUUGUCACAGCUCGUCACGCUCGGCCCUCCAAACUAACGAGCUGGGGGGCUAACUGUUGGGGUCGGAUUCCAUCCUUUAGCGCCAAGCCAGACUUAGAAUACUUCGGGAGUCUUUCGGCGAUCGCCUCGGGGUAUCGCAUCAUUCACCUCGGGAUAUCCCGAACAAGACAUCGAAAGCACCCGAGCCCAAUUGCCUCGGGGGUACCCGAGCCCAUCGCCUCGGGAGUUUCUGAGCCCAUCGCCUCGGGGACACCCGAAGAAGCCAUCCUAGAGUGCCCGAGCCGUUUCUUCCUGUGUACCCGAGCCAGUUGCACAAGUUCCCCGAGGCGAAGUCUUCAUCGUCGCCCGAAGCAAAGACUUAGUAAAUAUUCUUCUUUAAAGGUAUCAUUUCCAAGCAUAUUAUCAUUUCCGAAAAAGAAGGAUCAUUUCCGAUAAACUCGGAAAUGAUAAGGAAGAAUCUCGAAGGAUCAACUCAAAUCAGGAAAUCUUCCAAAAGACUCCGAAGAAUAAGGAAACUAUCCUAAUCCGCGAUAUUCUAAGCCGACUUCAAGAUAAAUGGAAAUCUUCCGAGAAUAUCGCUGGAGAGGCGGUUCAUCACCCCUAUAUAAAGAGACUCAAGGCUCUCGCAGAAGGCAAGCAAUAUCGCUCUAGAAAGUACACUACGCAAAGCUCUCACAGCACGAACACUUUUUCUUUUACGAUCAAACUCUUGUACGAUCAAAAUCAUCUUUUCAUUAAUAAUAUCAAGAACACCAUCUUUGGUAUCAAUCGUUUCUGUUGUUCUUUGAGAAUUCACGAUUAUCGUAUCCCUAAAAUAAAACCCUAGACAAAUCUUGAUUGUGUUAGUUUCGACCUCCACAAGUAUAUGCAAUUCUUCCAUAUUAUUGUUUUUUUUUGGAGCUAUAAAGAUAUGCUAAAUUAUAUUUUAUUAAAUAUCUUCCUUUUCAACACUGUAUAAAGGGUGCUCACUUUUGGUUCUAAGUUUUUGGACUUAUAUUUUCCGUCGAGCUACUCUAUGAUUACUUUCGCAUCUUUAUCGAAUAAUUGUUUGGUGCAUUGUCCCCUAAUUAGAAUCUAUAGAUAUAAAAUAUAUUAGUGUAAGAACAACAUAUAUAUAUUAGAGGUAUAUACAUAGUUAAAACAAAAGUGAAGCCGGUCUAUUAAUAUAAUAAUAAUAAUUUGCAUUUUAUGUGAUGAUAUUGGGAGGGGGAAGAUGUGUCACAUUCUGCUCAAUGUAAAUAAUAUAAAGUGGAAGAUGAGGAGCAGUUUUAAACAUGUAAACUACUUACAAGGUUUAAUGUCAGUAUAUUAAAGCUAAAGUAGUAUAAAAUCUUAAAUCUUAUAAUACUUGAAUGUCCUCCAUAUAUGACCAUGUUUAUGAAUAACACUAUAAACAAUUUUAGAGAUGCUCAAAAGUAGCACAAAAAUAUCCUCUAAGUUUAGCAUAUAAACCUUAAAAUCUCGUAUUAACACGGUUAAAGACAUAUAUUUAUGUGGGAGGAACUUAAAUAAGUAUCAGGUUUUGUGCUUUUGGGAUAACAUGUAAUGUGACCAAUAAUGCUACACAUUGUUAACUUUCCUCAACAAUUAGGCCUUUUUGUGUGUGUGUGUGUGUUGGUGAGUCAUCAGCUUUCCUCCACAAUUAGGUCUUGCCAAGUUUAAAAUGUCCGACGUCGCAUUUUGGCUAUUUCCUGAUAAGUUAAAUGAAUAGAGUGGACUGAAACAUCAUUAGAUUCCUAAUCAAAUUGUUCUCUUAUUUAUCCACUUGGAUGGUCCAUAAGAAACCCACAAUUGAAUAAUCAAUUUACUAACUUCUGGAUUACGAAUAAAUCAACGAGCAAAUGCGCCGGUUUCACAUUAUCCAAAAAUAUAUACAAUAAUUAAACCUGUACUGCAACUAUUUAUAUAUUUAUAUGGUACUAGUAGACGCAUUUCAAUUAGUUAUUUAACAGUAUAGUAAGUUAUUAAAAUUUUAAAAAAUAUUUAUCGUAAUAAUAACUUGAGGAGCAUGGUUCAUGAUUUAAGAGAGGAGUUGAAUAUGGAAGGCUGUCAUGCUGAUGAUGCUAAUUUUUUGGAGACCAUAUCGAUAUUAAUUAAAUUUUAAUUAAAUUCAUUUUAAUUCGGCGAAUCACACAUUUAUUGUACAAAUUGCAAAGAAAACGAAAAGUUUGAUUAAGAAGAAAAAUAUAUGGAAGUGAGAGCAUAUAAUCGAAACAAUUAUCGAUGUGAGAGCAUAUAUAAGAGCAUAUGUGAAUGUUGUAUUGUAUGUAUGAAGUGACGAACCUAAAACUAUAAAUAAACAUGGAUCACAAUGAUCAUGAGUCCUACUUUUACCCGACAUCCUAUUGUCUUUUUUUUUUGGAGAUUCACAAAAAUGCCCCUUUUUCAAUACCCCUUUUUAAAAAUGCCUCCUUUGGCUGUCCAUUUUUAAAAAUACCCUUUUUUAUGUACAAAAUGGCUAAAUUACUCUUCUUUUAAUAAAAGAUAUCACAAAUAUAUAAGGAAAUAUAACAAAAUUAGGUCCACAAAAUACAAAAUAUUUUUUGGCGGGAAAAGUGAGCCCUCAAUUUUUCCCGCCAAAACACUUGUAAAAAACCUUUAAAAUACCUUGUAAAGUUUUCCCGUAAAAUUUUUUCCCGCCAAAAAAUUUUCCCGCCAAAAAAUUUUUUUGCGGGAAAAGUGAUUCCGUAAUUUUUUUGGCGUUAAAUUGUUGGCGGGAAAACAUNNNNNNNNNNNNNNNNNNNNNNNNNNNNNNNNNNNNNNNNNNNNNNNNNNNNNNNNNNNNNNNNNNNNNNNNNNNNNNNNNNNNNNNNNNNNNNNNNNNNAGAUAUAUAAGAUGUACAAGCUAUUUAUAAGGUUUACAAGUUAUAAGAUUUACAAGUUUUUAUAAGGUUUACAAGUUUUUUACAAGUUAUAAAUUCCUUAUAAAAUUUUAUAAGUACCUUGUAAAACCUUUUAAAAUACAUUGUAAAACCUUACAAAACACUUGUAAAUAUUUCGUAAAACCUUUAAAAUACCUUGUAAAUUUUUCCCGCCAAAAAAAUUUCGCCAAAAAAAUUGCGGAAUCACUUUUCCCUCAAAAAAAAUUUUUGCGGGAAAAUUUUUUGGCGGGAAAAAUUUUUACGGGAAAAUUUUACAAGGUAUUUUAAAGGUUUUUUACAAGUGUUUUGGCGGGAAAAUUGCGGGAUCACUUUUCCCGCCAAAAAAUAUUUUGUAUUUUGUAGACCUAAUUUUGUUUCAAAUAAGGGUAAAAUGGUCAUUAAAAAUUAAAAGAGGGCAAACUUAAAAAUGGACUUUCAAAGGGGGCAUUUUUGAAAAGGGGUAUUGAAAAAGGGGCAUUUUUAAUUUUUUAACUCUAUAUAGUAUUUAUAAUUUUAACUCUAUCUGUGGUCCCUAAAUUUACAUGCUAUAUCUGUGGUAAUUUAGGUAUACUACAGAUAGAGUUACGUCUUAGCAGGAUUGAUAUUAGCAUGUAAACUAAAGGUUCGAAUUCAAUAUCCUAGAAUUCAAAAAUGAUCACUGUACUGUAAUUUAGAUAAGACAAUUAGGUAAUUAAUAAAAACAAACAACAAAAAAAAGUUUUUAGAAUUUGUCAACUUCCAAUUCAGUAAUCUAAUAUCAUUGACUUUGUAAAACCCCUUGACAUACGUCAAUAGAAGAUCUUGCAAAGAUUUUAUUUCACUAAAAAAUAAAUUAUUUGUUGAGAUGCCGAACUUAGGAACUAAUUUAUAUAUCAAUAUGUGUCCUUUCUAUUAAUUGUUUAACUGUUGUUUCGUCAGGUUAAUAUCGACACAAAAAUUAUAUAACCUGAGCCUUAAUUUAUUACAAUUAUUACUAACGCGAGAAUGACUAACAAGGUUUUUAAAUUCUUUUUUUUUUUUUUUAAAUUAUAAUGUAGGCCAAAAUCCGUCUAAUCUGGUGGGUUCAAGAACAACGAAGCUGUUCCAAACGGAAAUCAAACAAAAGGGAAUGAUUUUGUUUCCUAUAACAUCUAUUUUGUUAAAACUUACUAUUUAUUUAUUUUUAAAAAAUUUGUGAUAUCCAGUUUACAAAUAGACUUUAUGAAAAGUUAUAGAUAGAAGGGGAAAAAAAGAGAGUUAUAGAUAGACAAAAGGUUACUUAAAUAGUGAUUAUAAAUAAACGAUAUAUAUAAACUAAAAAGUGAAGUUACACAUAAUUGUUCGAAAGCAUUAUUAUUUUCUUUUUGUUAAGGUGUUCGAAAGUAUUUAACCAGUAACCACCGCUGGAUACAUUUGGAUAAAUAGAAACAAAUAUUUUAUGUAACGAUAGUAUUAGUAGUAUCAAUAAACUAUAAUUUUGACAUAAAGUCUACGUGGAGUGGAUGAAUUAGUGGGUUCCAAUUAAUGAUACAAAAGUAUAUAAAUUGUGAUCAAAGGAAUAUUGGUAUAAUAAGGAAUAUUACUUGUACUAAAAAUAAUCAAAUACAGGUCAAUGCUUUGUAUAUACUAUAUACUAUAUAUAGUAUAUUUACAAUUAAAAUAAAUUUUGUUGUGUCAUGUCAUAUGGUUAGAUAUAAAUUAUAAUAAACAUAGCUCUCGGUCUCGUGAGCAAAAUAAAUAGCUUUCACUUACAAAAUUAAAUCAUAUCAUAUUGUAUCCAAACUUACAAAAUUACAUCUUUUCUUUCUUAAGACAGUGAGUUCUUGAGGAUGUAAUUUGUACAUAAAGUAAAUCCCAUAUGUUAUUUUUUUUUUCUCUAAUUAAGUCUUUUCUGAAUUAGGCCAAAAAAAGAGAACUUAAAUGAAAUUUCAAAUCGACACGUAUACCGCCACGGGUAAAUGAAAGGCACAUGCUGAUGCUAUGAAAUAUUGACAUGCGCAUGUGAGCCACCAAAGAUUCUCAGGUUGUUAAGCUAAACAUGAUUAUGAGAGCGGUUAAGGCCAAUUAAUGAUUAGGAAUUAGGAUGUUAAGCCGUAUCCAACAGAAACAAAUCUUUAAUAGUCCUGUUUCCUAAUAAUUGUCUAUCUUUUGUUUUUUUCCUCUUGAAAAUGGUUAUGAUACUUCAUACUUUAUAUGAAUUAUAUAUAUAAUAUAUAUUUGUUAAUUUAUCGAUAGAAAUUGUUAGAUCAGGACUAUUUCAAUGUUUUUUCUCAUAAUUUUCUUGUUAGUGUUAAAAAUUUUAUUAGAACAAUUUGUAUUGAGAAAUUAGUAAAUUUAUUAAUUAACUUCUCUGUUAGAUGAAGCAUUUCUUUCCGACAAGACACCAGGAUAAUCCCAUACCGCCACAACACAUGCAUAUAAUGAUGCUCCAUCGUCCAACUUAUGGAAUUGAGCGAAAGCUCAUAAUUAACUGCGGUUAAAACAUAACACGUAGUAUAUCUAACAAGAAUUGACACGUAAAAAAAAAAACUUUUAGGAAGUGUAAUUAACAACAGUAAUUUUCUUUUGUAAAACAUUGUUUCGCUCCAAAUCCAGGGUGGGAGUGCAAGUUUGUGAGAUUUAUGAAAACAUUAGAUUAUAUGAAGUUAUGUAACUAGCUGCACAGAUUUUUAUUUUCUGAGAGCUAAAAUAUGACGCGAAAUACGUUUGCGGAUAAUGAGUUUUGUGAAAGCUAAAAAACAUCAUGUAUAUAUUAAAUUUUCUUCAGUUAUAUUUUUUUGGGUUAAGAUAAUCAAAUUGUAGUAUUAGAUUCUGAAAUGGUUAAUGCAGAACAUUAACAAAUUUGUGGGCUUAAUGGGCUUCGACCGGGCAAGUUAUAUAUAACGUGUAUCGACAAUUUAGUUCAGUUCAUUUGUAGCAUGUAUACUAAACAGUAAACACAUUCAAAACUUGAUUUUGCACAUGUUUAAAUAAGAUGUGAUAUACUAUAAUAAAAAGAAUCUUUUUUUGGAAGAAAUUAUUUUAUGUACUUAAUUAGAUGCCAUGAAAUUAAAAUAUUUGUUUCUGCAGAGAAAAUUGUUCUAAAUCAUUUAUGUCAAAUUACAUUUAUUAAUUUCCAGAUAGCUUCAUAUCAUACGCACACUUACAUUAAUUAAAAAAUAUAAUUUUUUUGAAGUAACAAACUAGGUAAAAAAUGCUUUGAUAAUUUUCUUCAAAGAGAAACGGAAUAUAAAAAGAGAAACGGAAUUUCUCUUCAAAGGGUUAUUGUGGUUGGUCAGAAUUUUCCUAAAAGGUAUGAUGUUGGUCGAUUGUGUUUGGAUUUUGCGUAUAUGGAGUUGAGUUUUAGUGGUUGUAAAAAAUGGUUUUACUACGGUUUGAUUUCCGGUUUUUUAUGGUUGGUUGUGGAUACUAUAAGGGUUAAAAUAUCUAGAUUCAAUUGUGAUUGAGUUUCUUUAAAAAAGAAUCAAAGGAAUGCAGGUCAUAACUCGACGCACUAUGGCACGGUAAAGGACUUCACGGGUGGACGCAACCCACCGAAACACAAAGUUGAUAAAUGAAGGUUUUGAGUUGGAAUUGUCAAGGACUUGGAAAUAAAGCAACUAUCGGUUAUCUUAGGGAUAUAUGGAAACAACACCGGCCAAACUUUUUAUUCCUUUCGGAGACAAAACAACCUUCUUGGUUUAUGGAAAAAUUUAUCGGUCAUUUUGGUUACAAAAAUUUAAAAACAGUUGAUCCUAUCGGUUGUAGUGGCGGUUUAGCCCUUUAUUAUAAUAAUGAUUUUAAUGUUUCAAUUAUUUAUGAAAGUAAUCGUUUAAUUGAUGUUGAGGCGGUGAUAAAAGGAAAAACAAUACAUCUUACUUUCGUUUAUGGUGAUCCGGUUCCGAAAAAUAGAGAUCAAGUUUGGGAACGGUUAACACGGAUCGGUUUGAUUAGAGACACACCCUGUUUCUUAAUAGGUGAUUUUAAUGAGUUAACUGGAAAUCACGAGAAAAGAGGUGGUACUUUAAGACAUGCAUCUUCUUUUAUCUCUUUUAAUUUAAUGAUUCAAAAUUGCGGUCUUUUAGAGUUUCCAUAUAUCGGAGAUUGGUUAUCAUGGCGGGGUUGGCGGGAUAAGAAACCAAUACGGUGUCGGUUGGAUAGAGCUUUAGCAAACGAAGAUUGGCAUGAAUUAUUCUGCAAUUCUUUCGUUGAAUAUUUACCAAUGGUAGCUUCCGACCAUUCACCGGUGGUAGCUACGCUCAUGGAUAAGGUCCCACAUGGGAAAAGAAAUUUCAGAUUUGAUAAAAGAUGGAUUGGAAAGGAAGGAUUACUCGAGGCAAUUUCAAAUGGUUGGAAUUCUGACCCUCAGUUAGGAGGGGGAAAAUUUGUGGAAAAAUUGACUAAUUGUAGGCGGGCUAUUUCACAAUGGCGGAAAAAUUUAACUCCCUAUGGGCGGCGAACAAUUGAGGAACUAAAAUCGGAAUUAAUUCUGGCACAGAGAGAUGAUAGGAGACCACGGGAAGAGAUUACAGAAUUAACAUUGCGGUUGAAAGAAGCUUAUCGAGAUGAGGAAUUGUAUUGGCAUCAGAAAAUUAGAAGCUCUUGGAGGCAACUAGGGGAUAAUAAUUCAAAGUAUUUUCAUGCUCUAACAAAACAAAGACGGGCAAGGAAUCGAAUAACGGGGCUACAUGAUAAAAACGGAAUUUGGUUUGCAGAGGAUAAAGAUAUUCAAAAUAUAGCAGUAUCUUAUUUUCAGGAACUGUUUACUACAACUAAGCCUGAGGCUUUUGAGGAAUCCUUGGCAGAAGUUCAAUCUCUGAUUACGGAUCAGAUUAAUAAUUUUCUAACGGCACCCGCAACGGAAUGUGAGGUGAGAACGGCUCUGUUUAUGAUGCAUCCGGAAAAAGCACCAGGUCCUGAUGGAAUGACAGCCUUAUUUUUCCAAAAGGCUUGGGUUACUAUUAAAACAAACCUUCUUUUUCUGGUUAAUUCUUUUUUAGAGGAUGAAAUUUUUGAUAAACGGUUAAACACGACUAAUAUUUGUAUGAUUCCAAAAACGGAAAGACCGACACGGAUGACGGAAUUACGGCCUAUCAGUCUUUGCAAUGUUGGGUACAAAAUUAUAUCAAAGAUUCUUUGCCAAAGACUCAAGACGGUGCUACCAAAACUGAUUUCGGAAACACAAUCGGCUUUUGUAGAAGGACGAAUGAUUUCAGAUAAUAUUCUCAUUGCACAAGAGAUGUUUCAUGGGUUGAGAACUAACCCAUCAUGUAAAGGAAAAUUUAUGGCCAUUAAAAAGGAUAUGAGUAAAGCUUAUGAUAGGGUGAAAUGGAUUUUCAUAGAGAAGGUUUUAAGAAAAUUGGGUUUCUGUGAAAAAUGGAUUAAGUGGAUAAUGUGGUGUAUUACAACGGUCCAAUAUAGAGUUCUUCUUAAUGGACAACCUAGAGGACUAAUAGUACCAGAGAGGGGUUUACGACAAGGAGACCCGCUCUCACCUUAUCUAUUCAUCUUGUACACUGAAGUGCUAAUUGCAAAUAUUCGAAAAGCUGAACGGGAAAAAUUAAUUACGGGUAUCAAAGUAGCAAAUGCAAGCCCUUCAGUUUCACAUCUGUUAUUUGCGGAUGAUAGUUUAUUUUUUUGCAAGGCUAACAAGGACCAAUGUGGGGUAAUUUUGGAGAUUUUAAAGAAGUAUGAAGCGGUCUCGGGACAGCAGAUUAAUUUUUUAAAAUCUUCGAUUCAGUUUGGGCAUAAGGUAGAUGAUGAUAUUAAGGAAGAAAUCAAAUCUACCUUAGGUACCACUAAUAUCGGUGGAAUGGGUUCUUAUCUUGGAUUGCCGGAGAGUUUAGGGGGAUCGAAGACAAAAAUCUUCUCUUUUGUCAGAGAUAGACUACAAACAAGGAUUAACGGAUGGUCGGUAAAAUUUUUAUCAAAAGGGGGAAAAGAAGUGAUGAUAAAAUCGGUAGCUGCAGCAUUACCAACUUAUGUUAUGUCAUGCUUCAGAUUACCAAAAACAAUCACUUCUAAACUUACUAGUGCGGUUGCUAAUUUUUGGUGGAGCUCAAAUGGUGAUUCCAGAGGUAUGCACUGGAUGGCUUGGAAUAAAUUGUGUAAUAGCAAAUCAGAAGGGGGAUUAGGGUUUCGGAACGUUGACGAUUUUAAUUCAGCUUUACUAGCAAAACAAUUAUGGCGGUUGAUCAUGGUUCCUGAUUCUCUUUUCACAAAGGUGUUUAAAGGAAGAUAUUUUAGGAAAUCCAAUCCUUUGGAAAAUAUAAAAUCAUAUUCUCCAUCAUAUGGAUGGUGGAGUAUAUGUUCAGCUAGAUCUCUGGUUAAUAAAGGACUUAUUAAAAGAGUCGGAUCUGGGACAUCCAUCUCGGUUUGGGAGGAUCCCUGGAUUCCAGCUCAAUUCCCGAGACCAGCAAAAAGUAAUGGUUCAAUUGCUGACCCAUCAUUAAAAGUUAACGAUCUUAUAGAUAGUCGGUCGAAUUUUUGGAAUAUUGAUCUCUUAAAAGCGAUCUUUGAUCCAGAAGAUGUCGCGCUAAUAAGCGCCAUACCUGUGGGUGCACCAACAAAGGAAGAUUCUUUGGGUUGGCAUUUUACAAAAUCCGGAAAAUAUACAGUUAAAUCGGGAUAUCAUACCAUACGGAUAGAAAAGUCGGAGACCAAUUUACCUUUUUUUGGCCCUGACAUCAAAUUUCUAAAAGCACAUUCUUGGAAAGUGCAAUGUCCACCUAAGAUACGCCAUUUCUUGUGGCAAAUCUUAACGGGUUGUGUACCGGUUACGGAAAAUUUGCGAAAAAGAGGAAUUGAUUGUGACACGGGAUGUGCUAGAUGUGGCGCAAUAGAGGAAACGAUCAAUCAUACACUCUUUCAGUGCCACCUGGCACGGCAGAUUUGGGCACUUUCACAGAAUUCCUACGACUAUAGGGAUUUUUCCCACAGAAUCAAUUUUUGCGAAUUUGGAUCAUUUAUUUUGGAGAAUACCUUCGGAAUUUGAUUCAUCAGCCUUCCCAUGGAUUAUUUGGUAUAUUUGGAAAGCAAGGAACGAAAAGAUCUUUGAAAAUUUAGACAAAGACCCAAUAGAGGUAUUACGAUUAGCGGAAAAAGAGGCACAAUUGUGGCAGUCAGCUCAAAUUGAGCUCCAUAAUGAAAAUCAUGGGUCUAUGGACUUGGUGAAUCGAACUCGAGUGAGGGAUGCUUUACUUGAGUCGAAUUAUUCUGGAUACCGUUGUUUUGUGGAUGGAUCAUGGAAAGAAAGUGAUAAGUUCUCCGGUACAGGAUGGUUCUGUACAUCGUCAAAUGGAGAACCGCCAACCAUGGGAGGUGCGAACCUCCGUAGAAGUCUAUCUCCACUCCAUGCCGAAGUCGAGGCCCUUCUCUGGGCGAUGAAGUGUAUGAUUGGUGCAGAUCAUCAAGAGGUAGCGUUCUUUACAGACUGUUCAGACCUGGUGAAGAUGGUGUCUUCUCCAACCGAAUGGCCGGCGUUUUCAGUGUAUUUGGAGGAAUUUCAUAGCGAGAAAGAAGAGUUUUUAUCUUUUUCUUUAUCUUUAAUUUCUCGAAGAGCUAAUGUUAAAGCGGAUAAUCUGGCACGAAAAGUUCGUACAGAACCGCUUCAUAUCACAUAUGUAAACAACAUUCCCCAGUAAUGACUCUUUUGAGCUUUAAUUAAUUUCUAAUGACAAAAAAAAAAAAAAAAAAAAAAAAAACUAGGUAAAAAAUAAUUUUAUGGUAACAAAUGAUUUUAUAGUACAUUGAUAUAUAUCAAUUGUCGUAAUACAUUCCAAGGUUAUAAAAAUAAUAGAUUAACAUUCAUUUUUGAUCGAAAUUUGAUAUCACCACAUUAUUUUUACAAAUAAACCUCUAGAAGUUGCCUAUUUAGUACAUAUACUAGGAUCGGACCCGCGGUCCACCGCGGAAGAAUAUUGGUUUACAUACGUUGAUUUUAAUAGUACGUGUUUUAAGUAGAGCGAAUCGGAUAGUGUACUUAUAAAUAUUCAUAAUAACGAAUUGUAGAGAAAAUGUAAAUUGUUUAUAAUUAAACCGAUCAUAUUAAUUAUGAUUAAAAAAUAGAAUUUUAUGUUUUAGAAUUCUAAAAUUAGAUGAUUCAUAGGAAUUAGAGCAGUAAAAAUAGGUCAAAAACCGUGGGUCGAGCCCAAAUCAGCUCACUAUGGGGCAUAUUUGUGAAAAUAUAUUAAACCCGUAAAUAAACGGGCCACACGGAUUGAUUCGCAGUGGAUCAUAGGUUUUUAUCGGUUUUCGUCCGCGGGUUGGCGGAUCAGCCCGCAUGUUAGUAUUUAUUGAUAAAAGUAUAAUUUAUUCAACAUUUGGUAAUUUAAAAUUUUUUUAAUAAAUGAAAUUAUAAUAUUCAUAAAUAUAAUGAGAUAUAAAAUUAUUUCCUCUAAUUUUUAUUUAUUUAUUUAUUUUAGUAGUAUUUAAAAAUUUCGUUACUUUAAAAUUAUUUAAACAAAAUCCACGGACAACCCCGCAAAUCAGCAUACAUUCGCGGGACGGAUUUGUGUUUUCAUAUAUGCUAUCUGCGGGUCGUGUGGACCAACUAACUAUAUGUCAAAAUAUAUUUUGUCUAUCACAAAACGGGCUUAACGGGAUGAAUCAACUCGCUUUGACAGCUCUAGUGGGAAUAUUAUUUAGUCAUACAACAAAAUAGAGUUUGGACAUAGGAAUAAUAGAAUCUAUAUCCUAUUUCUUAGAUGAGAUAUUGAAAAUUUGAAAGGUGAAAUAUAACGAUUAAUAAUUAAUUAUUAUUUUUCAUGAUUCGCAAAAUUUAAUAAAUAUUUAUCAUCUUGUUGAAUAAUUCUAAAAAUCAUAUUCAAGAAAUCUUUAUAAUUUUAAAAUUAAAUUUCUUUGGUAAGUUAUAAAUAUGAAAAUACCAUAAUUUCGUUUAAUUUAAUUAAAUUUAAUUUACACGACCAAAAUAAAAAUAUCUAUUUAAUUUAUAAAAUAGAUGGGUUAGUUGUGAUAAAUUUUCUAGAAAUCUUUUGAAGCAAGUAAGAUAUCUUUCAAUUAAUGCUAAUUGGCUAAAAUAAGCAAAAUUAAUGACAAAAACGUUGAUUAUUAUGGAAUUAGUUCCAAAAAUAUAUGAACAAAUAUAUUAUACGUAAUUAAUGUAUAGUAUUGUUCGGAAUAUGAUUUUAUAAUUAGUUACCAUAAAUACAAUCAUAUUUAAUUUGAUUUCAAUAAAUAUUUUAUUUUAGUUUGAUUUUUUAUUAUUUAAUAUUAAUUAGAAAUCAUAAUCCAAAAAAAAUUGAAAGAUCCGAUUUCAGAAGUUUGGGUCAAUUUUCUGAUUUUGACCCGACCCAUUUACAUUUGUACUUCUCUUUUAAUAAUAUAGAGAUUUUUGUUUUUCGAAUAAGUUAACAUUUUUCUUAUGAACCUAUAAAACCAAAAAUACCAAACUGAAACUAAACCAAAACCUAUUUGAAAGUACAAUAAUUCGUGAACCAAAAGUACAUAACUUUGUAUGUAUUUUGUCAACAAAUAACAAUGCUUUAAGAAAAAUAUAAAACAUUAUUUUUUUCUUAAAAAGAAGUUCAAUAGUGUUCUCUGCAACAUGUAAGCAUAUAUACUUAUAUACUCCUUAGUUUUUUUUUUUUUAUAUUAUAUUUCUCUUUCUCUAAGUAUUGCGAUCAUCUAAUUACUUAAAAUCUCUCUCAUUUGAAUUCUUCUUCUGUUUUAGAUUCUAGGUCAAAACACUUGAUCCAAUAUCUUUGCGAUCUGUGCCUAAAUUAAGUUCUCUUUGAUAGAAAGUUUUCAACUUUUAAUUUUUUUUUUUAUUCGACGAAAAAACCUCCGGCGAUGGUUUUGUCGGCGAAACAAACCCUCCCUACGAAGAUCGGACUUUUCCGACGAAACCCUUCUUCCUCACUACGAAGAUCUCCUGUUUCUCUCUCGUUUCCAUCGACGGAGCUUCCAAAACGUACCGUUUUAGCCGUCUCAAAGCCGCUUCAUCUCUCUUCUCUGAGAGCUAAGUCUCCGGUAGUGAGAUGUGAAGCUUAUGAAGCUGACCGAUCAGAGCCUCAGCCGAUCGAUGAUGCUGCGGCGGCGGAAACGAAAUCAGAGGCGGCUAAGAAAUUGAAGAUCGGGAUUUACUUUGCUACUUGGUGGGCUUUGAACGUUGUGUUCAAUAUCUACAACAAGAAGGUCUUGAACGCUUAUCCUUACCCAUGGCUUACGUCGACGCUUUCUCUUGCCGCUGGUUCGUUGAUGAUGCUAAUCUCUUGGGCUGUUGGGAUCGUUGAGACUCCAAAGACUGAUUUUGAUUUCUGGAAAACUCUUUUUCCGGUAAGUGGGUUGGUGGGGAAACGAAGUUUGGUGGGUUGGUGAGAAAAUUUUGGGAAAAAAGGUUGAAACUUUAGGUUUGAUUUCGAUGUUUACGAUGAUGGGUAUUGAGGUUUAAGGUCAAAUUGAUGCAGAUCUUGCAGGAAUAUUUGUUGUUUUUUUGUUACUUGAGUGAUUUGCAUAGUUUUGUUUGCUUCCUAAGAAAAAACUUAUGGAGAGAGAAGAAAGUGAUGUUUUUUUGGCUGUGUUUGUGUUCAUAGGCUGCUGAAUUUUAAUAGCUAAAUUCUGAAAAUUCAAGUGUCAACAAAAUCAGCUUGUUAUUAUUUAGCUUCUAGUAAAUCAUUCUUGUUUAAAGUAUUGAACUUUUUGAUAUUUUGUUGUAGUAAAAGUGGUUUUUGUUUGAGUGUGUAUAGGUUGCUGUGGCACAUACAAUUGGUCAUGUGGCUGCAACGGUGAGUAUGUCAAAGGUUGCGGUUUCGUUCACUCACAUCAUCAAGAGUGGUGAACCAGCGUUUAGCGUGCUUGUCUCGAGGUUCCUUUUGGGUGAAACCUUCCCUACUUCGGUUUACUUGUCCCUCAUUCCAAUCAUCGGUGGUUGCGCUCUGUCUGCCCUUACCGAGCUUAACUUCAACAUGAUUGGUAACAUAUAUCUAUUGAUACGUUUGGUCAUGUAUCCUAUGCUUUUUCUUAAUCUUUUUUGUUAGAUAUAUCAUAUAUUUGAUGCAUUGAUGUGUAAUUGCGACUGAUUUGAAAUGGCUUUGCAUGUUUGAUAUUGGCUUUAAAUCUGCAAUCCUGCUUUUCAGGUUUUAUGGGAGCUAUGAUUUCGAACUUGGCUUUCGUCUUCCGUAACAUCUUCUCGAAGAAGGGAAUGAAGGGAAAGUCUGUGAGCGGAAUGAACUACUACGCCUGUCUCUCAAUGUUGUCCCUAUUGAUCCUCACUCCCUUUGCGAUUGCGGUUGAAGGACCUCAGAUGUGGGUCGAUGGCUGGCAAACGGCGCUCGCUACUGUCGGACCACAGUUUGUCUGGUAAUUUCCCUCUACAAUCUCUUACGAAAAGACAACUCUUUUAAACUCGAAAGAUAGUUUUGUUACGUGUUUAAUGCAUACUUGUCCUGUUCCUAGAAUCCAUUGUGAAUGACCCACUUGUUAAGUUCUUGUCUUUAGCUCUCAAAUUUUUUGUUAUCAUCCAAAUGAUUAACAAUCCUGGAGUCUUUUUAGUGAUUAGGCCAAUGAAUCCAUCUCAUUCGCUUAUCCGAUUCCACUUUUUCUUCAAUCAAAUUUGCAGGUGGGUGGCUGCGCAGAGUGUGUUCUAUCACCUCUACAACCAAGUGUCUUACAUGUCUUUAGACCAAAUCUCUCCCUUGACAUUUAGUGUUGGUAACACCAUGAAACGUAUAUCUGUCAUUGUCUCAUCCAUCAUUAUCUUCCGCACUCCAGUCCAGCCCGUUAACGCCCUUGGAGCCGCCAUUGCUAUCCUUGGAACCUUCUUGUAUUCCCAGGUAAACACAACCUUAUAUUGACCAAAAUAUCCUUAUUAUCGAAAUGAUAAAUGAUAAAUAAGUCUUUGGCUUCAAUUCACACCCACAUGAUGAGACUUAAGUCACAUAACGCUAUCUUCUUCCACAUUAUCAAGAAACCGUCUUUAGUUUAUUGGUUUGGUGUAAUGCCGCACUAAUAAUUCAAGAAUCAAGAUUCUUGAUUCGGCGUUUAAUGUUUCGUUAUCCUGGUUUGCGCGUGAUGUGCAGGCAAAGCUCUGAUUCGGAAGACAGAAGGGUGUCCGGGUCUGGUGUUGAGCUCGUGAUUUCGGUUAAAACCGGGAAAAGAGCUUAAUGUAGAUAUUUGUCCUCAAUAAUGAAAGAAAUGAUGAGAAUGGACACUCACACUACAGUGUUUAGAGUGUGUUAGGCAGUUUUUAAUUUGAGUUUUUUUUUUUUUUAAUUUGGGGGAAGUGAGAAGAUUGCCUCUUUGUAACUAAAGUGGGAAAUAGAUAUUUGUCCCCUUUGAGAAUAAGACACCCUGAAACUCUCUUUUCAACUAGGAGAGAAAUAUUACUAAAAAGUGAGAAUAUUAUCUCGAGAUUAUUCUGCUUUGCUGUCAUAAAGAGAGAAAUCAGUACAUUUUCUUUUAACUUUCAUGCUCUAGUUAUGUCGGAAAAAGCUGAUGUCGAAGUUAUAUCUUGGAGAGUAAUGGAGAGUAUUCUAUUGACAAAAAGAAACCACCGACACCGAGACAAAAGUAAUGCUAAUGCAUGGACACGGAGGGAGGCAUUAGAUUUGGUUCAGACUCGGAAAAGAGAGAGACAUGUCUCUUGGGAUUUCAGAAGAGGCAGAGAGAUAUGUUUGGUGAAGAAUAUACUCAAACAAGAUUCUCUCUCUAUUGCUUAUAUUAUUAUUUUCAUACAUCAAAGUCACCACUUCUCUUUUUUCUUAAAUCUUAAGGGGAACAUGACUUUGGCAGAUGCUAUAUGAGUAUAUGCGAAUAUAUGUCUUCUAGCAAUUGGACCUCUUUCCAAUGUUAACAUCUAUUAUGAAAUUAAAGAAGCUGUAGUAGAGUUCUGAGAUAAUAUUCCAUGUUUGUAUCUGCAAAAGUAGGAUUUCAUUUUGAAAACCAAAAAGAAAGCAAAUUGAGAAACGAAACAUUCGAGCUCUUUCAAGAAUAUGAAAUGUUUUUUUUAUUCAUGAUACAUUUAUUCAAGUUUUGCUCUCUUCGUAAUCUUUUUCUAUUUCCAAUUUUGUUGGAAACGUCGUGACCAGAGAGAAGCAAAGUACUUAACAGAUUACAAGUACAAAAAGGAUUUCAUUGUCUUGAAUAACUGAAAAAACAAACAUAAGUGUUUCUCUUUCAAACAUCAAGAUAUUUAGCCACUGUCUGAACAUCUUUAUCUCCUCUUCCGCUGAAGUUCAAUACUACUCUCGUUCCGUCCGAUAAUGUGGGACACAGCUUCUCGAGGUAAGCUAGUGCGUGUGAGGUCUCCAGCGCUGGAAUGAUUCCUUCUAACCGCGACACUCUCUUGAACGCUACAGACCACAAAUCAAAGGGAAUGCAAAGGGUAAGCUAUGAAACAAAGAACAGAUUUCCGAAUACAGAACUAAAGACUAUGCAUUGGUACAUUACCUUCCAACGCUUCUUCGUCGGUUAUGCUAUAGUAUUCAGCCCGUCCCAUGUCUUUAAAAAAACUAUGCUCGGGUCCGACUCCAGGGUAGUCCAAUCUGUAAGAGAAAAUCAAACCGUGUUCAUGCGCAACCAUGGCUAAUUGAGUAGACUAUUCGGUAAUCUACAUUCAAACAUAUGAAUAAGAAUGUUGUGAUGGGCUUAAUCCCCACGAAACAGCCCGCCAUGGAUCAAUCAACCUGCAGCCUGGCCAGGCCAAGACCCAUCAAUUUCCUUUAUAUUAAUUGGGUUAACCACGGGCCAAAUCAGAGCUGGGCUUAGUAUGGACCAAGCUGGGCUAGCUCAUCACAACAUCUCUACUUAUGAUAGCUAUGUCCCACAUUACCGAAUAGAGAAUUUCACUUACCCUGCACUAAUUGAGUGUGGUUCAAUGAUUUGUCCAUCAUCAUCUUGCAGCAAGUAACUCAUAGCUCCAUGGAGAACACCGACAUCUCCCUUUGUCAAUGUAGCAGCGUGUUUGCCACUGUCCAAUCCGAAUCCCGCUGCUUCCACACCGAUCAUCCGGACCUCUGUGUCAUUUACAAAUUCAUGGAAGAGUCCCAUAGCGUUUGAACCACCACCGACACAAGCCACCAAGACAUCUGGCUUCCCGCCCCAUUUCUCCAACGCUUGUCUCCUUGUUUCUUUACCAAUCACAGCGUGAAAGUCUCUGACCAUCAUGGGGUAAGGAUGAGGACCCGCCACAGAUCCCAAUAUGUAAUGGGUAGUCUCCACAUUUGUCACCCAAUCUCUUAUCGCUUCAGAUGUUGCAUCUUUCAAUGUUGCUGUUCCAGAGUGAACUCCUCUCACCUAUAACACCAGAAACCCCGAAAAAAAGUUCAGAAACAAAGUUUUAUCACAUUUAAAAGAGAUGGAGAUGAAUCUUAAGCAUCACCUCGGCACCAAGAAGUCGCAUUCUGAACACAUUGAGUGCUUGUCUCUCCAUAUCUUGAGCACCCAUAUAGAUAAUACACUCAAGACCAAAACGGGCACACACAGUGGCUGUAGCCACACCAUGUUGACCCGCUCCUGUCUCAGCAAUAAUUCUCUUCUUCCCCAACCGCUUGGCGAGAAGAGCCUGAGCCACAGCGUUGUUAAUCUUGUGAGCACCUGUGUGGUUCAGGUCUUCCCUCUUCAAAUAUAUAAGCGGCCCUUCGCCAUUCUCGCGCCGGUAAUGCUCCGUAAGCCUCUCUGCAAAAUACAGAGGACUUUCCCUACCCACAUAGUCUUUCAAGAUCCCUGCCAACUCCCUCUAUCAAAGAUUCAUUGACAAAACACACAGAAAACAUAAAUCAGACAUUGAACCAGAGAAACCAAACCAAAACAAGAUUCCAAAUUUCAUUUCUCUCUGUUUCCCAUAAUCUCUAACCAUUCCAUCUAUGAACAGAACCAAUUUCAUUCAAAUGCCCUAGAAUUUACAUUUCCCAUCAACAAGAUCCAAACUUUAUCUCAAUCUGCAAAUGAUAACGCUAUAAUUCCAACGACCCACAACGCAAAAGGUUUCAUUUCUAUCGAAAUCACGAAGAACAAGGUCUACCUGGAAAUCAUCGUCGGUGGCGAGAGCAUAGAAAGCCGAUUCGAGCUCAGAGAGCGCGUGCAUAAGAGUCUCAGGUACAUACUUCCCACCAAACUUCCCAAACCGACCGAACGAAUCGGGUCGUUGCCACAGGGUCGGGUCAGAUCCGGCGGUCAUGAGAACAGGCGGGUCUUUGGCGAUAGUGCAGGUGACGGAGAAGGAUGACUUGGAGCGAGACGAUGGCAGAGGCGUAAAUUUGAGAGCUUUGAAGGGUGAUGAUCUCAAAUGGGUCAAUUGGGAAGAAGAAGAAGAAGGAGCAGAAGAAACGGAGGCUCUGAAAGUAGCAGCGGUGCCUGAGGCUGCCAUUACUGAAUGAAUCUCUCUGAGUCAAAUAUAUUAUUCUUCUCCUUCAAAUAUCCUUUCAAAGUAAAUCUGUUUUUAUAGAUAGAUUUUUUUUUUCUUUCAAAAAGAAUUGGUCAAAAUUCUGACCACAAAAUUCAUAUUAAACUAUUGUUGAGCUAAAUAUUUGUAAUAUCCUAAAUCUGCGUUGAUAAAUUUGGUUAUUUGUAAAAAAAAAUACUAAAAUUUAAUAUAGAAAAUCACAAAUAUUUAAAUUUGAAUUUUUAGAUAUCUACGUAUAUCUUUUUGGAGAUGUAUAAGCAGACACAUGUAAGCAGACCAAGAGAAAAAAAAAGAAAAAAAAAAGAGAAGGUUGGUAGGACUAGGAAAGUGGGAUAUAGUAAUAUAACACAUGGUUUUGAAAAACAUAUUCAAUUGAGCCAUCAUCACCUACCAUUCUUUUUUUUUUUUUCAUGAAAAACUAGGAUCGGACCCGCGGUCCACCGCGGGAGAAUAUUGAUUUACAUACGUUGAUUUUAAUAUUGUGCGUGUUUUUAGUAGAACGAAUCGUUUAGUGUACUUAUAAAUAUUCUUAAUAACAAAUUGUAAAAAAAAUAUUAAAUUGUUUAUAAUUAAACCAAUCAUAUUAAUUAUGAUUUACAAAAUAGAAUUUUGUGUUUUAGAAUUCAAAAAUUAGACGAAUCAUGGGAAUUAAAGCAGUCAAAAUAGGUCAAAAACCGCGGGUCGAACCCAAAUCAUCUCACUAUUGGGCAGAUUUGGGAAAAUAUAUUAAAUCCGCAAAUAAGCGGGCCACAUGGAUUGAUUUGCAGUGGGUCAUCGCUUUUCAUCCGCGGGUUGGCGGAUCAACCCGCAUGAUAGUAUUUAUUGAUAAAAAUAUAAUUUAUUCAACAUGUGGUAGUUUAAAAAACUUUUAAUAAAUGAAAUUAUAAUAUUUAUAAAUAUAAUGAUAUAAAAGAUUAUUAUCUCUAAAUUUUUUCUAAUUUAUUUAUUUUAGUAGAAUUUAAAAUUUUGGUUACUCUAAAAUUGUUUAAACAAAAUCCACGGAUAACCCCGUAAAUCAGCAUACAUUCGCGCGACGGGUUUGUGUUUCAUAUAUGCUACCCGCGGGUCGUGCGGACAGACUAACUACAUGGCAAAAUAUAUUUUGCCUAUUGCAAAACAGGCUCAACGGGAUGAAUCAACUCGUUUUGACAGUUCUAAUGGAAAUAUUAUUUAGUCAUACAACACAAUGGAGUUUGGACAUAUGAAUAAUAGAAUAUGUAUCUUAUUUGUUAUAUGAGAGAUUGAAAGGUGAAAUAUAAUGAUUAAAAAUAAUUAAUAUUUUUCAUGAUUCGCAAAAUUUAAUAAAUAUUUAUCAUCUUGUUGAAUAAUUCUAAAAAUCAUAUUCAAGACAUCUUUAUAAUUUGAAAAUUAAACUUCUUUGGUAAGCUAUAAGUAUGAAAAUACCAUAAUUUCGAUUUAAUCUAAUUAAAUUAAAAUUAGUUACAUAGAUUUUAUAUCUAUUUAAUUUAUAUGACCAAAAUAAAAAAAUCUAUUUAAUUUAUAAAAUAGAUGGGUUAGUUGUGAUAAAUUUUCUAGAAAUCUCUAGAAGCAAGUAAGAUAUCUUUUAAUUAAUGAUAACUGCUAAAAUAAGCAAAAUUAAUGAGAAAAACGUUGACUAUUAUGGAAUUAGUUCCAAAAAUAUAUGAACAAAUAUAUUAUACGUAAUUAAUGUAUAAUAUUGUUCAAAAUAUGAUUUUAUAAUUAGUUACCAUAAGUACAAUCAAAUUUUAUUUGAUUUCCAUAAACAUUUGAUUUUAGUUCGAUUUUUCAUUAUUAAUUCGAAUUUAUAUUCCAAAAUUUUCAAAGAUCCAAUUUCAGAAUUUCGGGUCAAUUUUCUGAUUUUGACCCGACCCAUUUAUAUUUGUACUUCUCUUUUAAUAGUAUAGAGAUACACUAGCAAGUAGCAAGAGUUGAAAACUCUUCUAGUUAUAAGGCCGACAGAACGGACAACGAAAAAUCUCAAGAAACUAAAUCCUAAAACAUAGAGUUUAUAAUCCACAAAACGUAGAAAACAACAGUGUUCCACCGAAUGUGUGACUGAUGGAUCCGUCUAGUAAAUUACUCAUCUUUUUUCCUUCUAACAAUUACUUUGUUCAUUAUUUUUGCUGUAAUUUUAAAUCCUUUUCAAUUAUUUUACAUAAAAACACCUUUAAAAAUUCAAAGACUCGAUCUAUAAUCUUUCAUAGUCUAUCCAUCUCUUCUUUUGAAAUUUGUGUUUUGUGGAAACGUGGAUUUAGAAUAAGGGAAAACUAAACAAUUUUUUUUUAUAUUAAACGUAUACUUAGAAUCAGGGUCGGUCAUAAGCCUAGUAAAAUAAAACAUGGGUUUAGAGCUCCCAAAAAUUUCACCAAAAAUUUCAUAUUUUUUUACCCCCACCCCCGGGAGUUUAAUUUGUUUUGCAAAAAAAGUCUCUAAUUUAAGAGACUAUUUAAAAACCUUCAAAAUUUCAAGGUUGGCUAGGUUUAGAAUUACAAUAUUAUUUAAAAAAUAAUUAGAUAAACACAUUGUUUUAUGUAUUUAGUUCGAUUUAAAACUGAACUGAACCGAACUAUUCGGGUUGAUAAAAGCUUAACCAAACAGUUUGUACAUUGAUUAUGGUUCGAUUUUGGAUCAUUUUAGGUUUAGUUGGUUUGGUUCAGUUAAAAUGCAUGCCUUAAUCUCUCGGUCAAUAUAUUCCUCUUCCUUAACAUAUCCGUCAAAGUAAAGGAUUUAAUAAGCUUCUUAAAAAAAAAUGUUUGGUCAAAUUCUUGACCACAAACAUAUAGUCAAAACAUAUUACGUUAAUAUAAUACCAAAUAAGUUGGUAGGCUUGAACGCAGUAUUAGCAAACCUGGAAUAUUUUUUUAGUAUAUAUAUUAUUCAUUUCUAAGAACUCAAACAGGUAAAAGAAAAAUGUUAAAAACAGAAUCGAGAUCCCUGACCUAUCUAUUUCAUAUUUUUCCUUUGUAGGUAGCUAGCAACAUUCUUCUUGUUUUACUCACUCUUCUUUUUCUUAUUUUUAGAUUAGUAAAAGUUUCAGGAAUUGCGAUUCGAAGCUUUUGUUGUUGGUGAAGUUUUAGCGAAAGCAUUUUUGACAAGGCUAAAUAUGUAACACUUCUUGUCUGUGUGGUAGGGAAGAGUAUUACAUGCAUCCAAAGAAGUUUAUGCGAAUUAGGGUCCUCAAUAAUUUCUCGAAUUUGGUGACACUUUCUUUUGAUAUUCUUCCUCCAAACUCUUUCAAAACAAGAAAUUUACUAUAUAUGAAAUAAGAAUAGUCACAUUACUAUUAUGGAUUUUAUCAUUUUAUUAGUAGUAAAUCUCAUCAUUUUCAUUUGAUAUUUUGUAAACGACUUUGUUGUAUGCUGGCAUUGAUCUAUGAACAUAUUGAAUGCAGAACAUAAUACAUAAGUGUUUGAAGGUUAUGUUCUGCAUCCAAUAUGUUUGAGGAUCGAUGCAAGAAUAUGACAAAGUCGUCUACAAAAUACUGGAUAAAAAUUAUGUGUUUUAUUAUUAAAAAAGAAAAUGAUUACUCUCUAUUGCAUAUAUAGAAAUCUUACCGGUGAAAGAUGUGGAGGAAGAAUAUCGAAAGUUAGAGUCUCCAAAUUUGGGCAAUUAUUGAGAAGAAUCCUAAUUCUAUUAAACUUCUUGGUAUAUUUUGUUUUCACGGGAUGAAAUUAAAGGAAUAUUUUUGAAAUCUUAGUUGCUAGAAAACCGUUAAGAAAUUAAGAAUUUUAACGUUUAUUUGAGAUGAUUGACUUAAUUUAUCAUAUUUCUUCUCUAACUCGAAGUUCUCGAGGACUAGUUCUCAUAGUCAUAACUCAUAACUGCCUGGCUAUCCACAUGAUAUCAAGGCCAACAUUGUUUGAUAUUUAGAGACUCUGGAGCGAAGGAGAUAUUUUUUUUUUGUUCGUGCAUAUAGUAACAUAUUAUAUCAUUUUUGAUGUAUAUACAGCAAUACAUAUUUUUUUUAGCAAUACAUAUAUAUUUUUAGUUAGCAUGUAUAUAGUAUAUAAUGUGUUUUAGUUCGUGAAGCUAAUAAUAUUUUUAAUUGUUUCGAAAGAAAUAUCAUCUUUUAUUAUUAUUUUGAUGUUAUAUAAACUUGCAAUAUUUUACAUCCAUUGCAUAGACAAACGAACAAAAUUAUCGAAGAUAAAAUCCCCCCUUACAAAUUCCAUUCCUUAAAAAGGUAAAAUAUCCUGCAAAUUAAGGGAUUUCCUAGAUUCCCUUUGUAAUAUUAAAGUUGGUCAAAUUUCUGACCACAAAAAUGUAUAAUCAAUUAAAAUGCAUCUUAGGUUAAUAAUAAUACCAAAUAAAAGCCUAUUUCAAAAAAAAAAAAAAUCCAAAUAAGUUAGCCAAAUUAAGACUUUUACUUGUAAAAGACUUUAAACUUUUAAGUUGGGAUAUGAUUUUAACCAAAUAAGGUUCUUACUUAACAAAUAAUUUGUUUGCUCUAUAACUCGGAAAAUGAGAGAGGAUUUUAAGACAUGGUUUUGAAAUACAUAACCAUGGGAGCCCAUAGCCAUCACCUACUCUUAUCGUUUACACUAGCAUAUUCAUUUACCUAAAUAUUUCUUCCCUUCUAAAACAUUUCCCAAAUUCACCCUCUGACUUUGACUCAUCAGAUUUAUAAAAUUACAAAUUGAUUAAGAAAAACUUUCAAUAAUCUUCGAGAAAUAAACAAAAAAUCCUGAGAAGUUGAACAGGCAGAACCACAAGAGGACAAAGUUUCAGGUGCGUCAGUUGUUCUUAUAUUUAAGAAAUGAUUGCAUUUUUAAAUCAAUAGAUUCAGACAUGUUUUUAGAAAUGAAAUGACUUCACUGACGAUUUUCAUUUGAUCCAUUGCAUGAUUUUCAUUGAAAGAGAUGACUUCUAAGAGAAUAGUUUCAAGUAUCCAAUCAGACAGAUUAUCGAAUCUACCCGAUACACUUCUGAUUAUUAUCAUCUCUUCCUUGUCCUUCAAGGAAUGUUUAAGUACCAGUGUACUCUCUACGAGGUGGAGUUACCUCUGUCGAGAGACAAGAAACAUUGCAUUUAAUGAAUCCGAGUAUGUCGACCACUCUGUAUCCGACAAAAAAUCCAAAAGGCUUUCGUUUGUUGGCUAUAUGAGUCAAUGGAUCUCUAGAUAUCAUGGUCGUUACAUCGAAAGCUUCGAGAUUUGUUUCUCCCUUCCAUUAGGCUUUAUGGCAGAGAUCGAGUCUUUGAUCGAAUUUGCAGUGUCAAGACAAGUCAAGAACCUGGUUAUUGAUUUCAAAGACCCUUCUUGGACAAUCAAUAGCAGUGCGUCUUGGUAUGCCUAUCUUGCUGUGAAAUUGCCCGUAUGCGUUUACAGUCUAACAACCCUCGAAUCACUGAAGAUUUACGCGUGCGGGUUUGAUCCUUCGAAAUUCACAAACUCGGGAUUGCCUAGAAAGCUCUCUAUUGGUUGGAUCAACUUCACAGAGGCCGAGUCUUUGUUAUCAAACUCUCCUACGCUCAAAAGUCUAAGUAUUGAUUACUGUUGGAGUGUUGAUAUCAAAAACAUAGCCGGAGAUAUGAAAGAAGUUGUAUUCGAUAACUCCGACUUCUUCCCUAAAAAGGCUUGUUCCUUUGACCUGCCUAAUGUAGAGAUCUUCAAGUACUCAGGCUCAGUUCUCUCCUUCGAUGUCAAGGGAAUGAAUAGGAUAAUAAAAGAAGUCUACUUGGACUUCUUCUGCGCAGAGGGCGAAUACGAUAAACCGAAUCGAAGAACAAAAUUAGAUGGAACAGAUCUUUCUGGCUUCCUUAACAGUUUUCGAGGUGCGAGGACCUUAAGUGUCUGCCCUUAUCUCCUUCAGGUAUAUUGAAGUCUUAACAUAAAUUUACAUUACAUUUUAACGUUAUUAACAUAUCUUUGAGAACUGAACAAAGUGUUUCUACGUCCUACGGUAUGAAACUUUUCAGUAGCCUAGUGACUAUAAAGUAAAUGGUUUAGUUAUGUAGUUUCCUUAUCUAAUACCUUAAAGCGAUCACAUUAAAUUUGAUAUGUAUAUAAGACUGUUAGACAAAUUAGUCUUGAUCGGAAUAUGUGUGUUUUUUUUCUUUUUGAAGUCUAUCCAAGAAUGUGAAGAUCCGUCAAGUUUACUUCGUCCUAUGGAUACAGAGCAUUUGGUGCUGAGAAUGAGGAUGCAUGUCAUGGAGUUUAAGGGGAUUAAGCUCCUUCUUGAUAAUUGCCCGAACCUAGAAACACUAACUUUCGAUAUCAUCCGUCGAAGCAAGUUCUCGGUAAGAUUAUAUACUUAUAUAGUAUUGAAUAUAGAUUAAUAGUCACAUUAUUGUGUAUGAUUUUUUUCUAAAGCUCAUCGUUUAUUUUGCAGUACACUAAGUCAUAUUGUGGCAUCUGUCCAAAAACAUGUUGGCAAAAUAGCCUUACCUACAAGUCUCUUCCUAAGACACUUAAAGUGGUAGUGGUAAGGAAUUAUAGUGGUCACUUUAAUGAGCUAAAUGUAUUGAAGUUUUUGAUUCAGUCCAGACGUGGGCAUGCGGAUGGGUCUAUGUUGGAAAGAGUGGAGCUUUACAUGCAUAAUAGUAUGGAGGAAAGUCAAAGGAUGUUGGCACAUGAGGAAGCCGAGAUGUUACAGAGUAUUUCAGGGGCUGUACAGGUUCUUGUACACAACCUUUGAAAAGUUGGCAUAUUCAAGACUUCUCAUUAGUGUGUUUUGUUUGAACCAUUUAGUGAUGUUUUCUUUUGCUUUGAUUUAUGAAUAAUGAGGACUUGGUCAUCUUUUUGAAACAUUAUAUAAUAUUUGUUUUUAUAUAUUUAAUAAUUUUCUUUGAUUUUUGAAAACUAAAAUAUUGUUUUAGGGCUAACAAAACUAGACACCAAAACUGAACUAAACCGGUUUAAAAGUAAUCAAACUAAAACAUAGGAAGAGGAGUCACUAGUUAAGUCUGAACCAAACACUAUAUCUUCGAAGAUGAGUCGUGACGAUGUGGCAAACAAAUCUAUAAGAUGAGUUCAAAUAUUUUCCAUUUCUAUCAUCGACUUUUGCAUCAACCAAACCUAUGUUUCUGUAUAAAUUUACAGUUGUUUCUCACUGUCAAAUACUAAUUUAUAGUAGAUUAUCUUCCUUUUUUUGAGUAACUUUCUAUGUCACAUGUGGAAGUUUUAUUCAACACGUCUCUCUCCGUUUACUAGGUUAAAAAACUUCCAUAUGAAACCAAAAAAUCACGAAAUUUAUUCAAAAGAAUAUAUAGAGGAGCCAAUUAACAUUCUCUGUCACUUGAGCAUAUCACAAUUCACAAACAUAUCUCUUCUUUCGAAACUCACCACAUUUCUCUUACAAUGGAUUCAAUUCAACAAGACAGAUUAUCAAGUCUUCCCGACGUUCUUUUAAUUGUGAUCAUCUCUUUCUUGCCGUUUAAGGAAUGCGUAAGAACCAGUGCUCUCUCCAGGAGGUGGAGGUAUCUCUGUCAGGAGACCAGAAACCUUUCUUUUAGGGAAUCUGAUUUCGUGAGUCCUUAUAUCACUGGUGAAUAUUCGAGAUUUGCAGCUUGUGCUUCAUUUUUUAGUUUUGCGGAUAAUUGGCUCUCUAGAAUUCAAGAUCAGGUCGUCGAAAGCUUCGAGAUUUGUUUCUCCAAUCCGGUGGGUUUCGAGCAUAAGAUCGAGGCUCUGAUCGAAUACGCUGUCUCCAAACGAGUGAAGAAUCUAGUCAUUGAUUUGUCAAACCCCGCUUGGAGAAACUAUAAUGAUAUAUCAUCAGUCUGUGUAUCAUAUCUUCAUUUUAUCGUUACAUUGCCCAAAAGCGUUUACAGUCUAACAACCCUUGAGUCACUGAAGAUCUACGGGUGCAAGUUUGAUCCUUCGAGAUUCACAAACCCGGUAUUGCUAAGAAGACUCUCUAUUGGUUGGAUGAGACUUGAAAACCUCCAAUCUUUACUAUCAAAAGCUACUUCCCUCCUGAGUCUAAGUAUCAAAGAAUGCUGGGGCGUUGAUAUGACGUGGAUGGCCGGGCAGUUUAGAGAGCUAGUCCUUGAGAAUUUAGACUUCAGUUACAUGCAAUGUUCCUUUGAACUGCCUCGUAUACACAGCUUAAAGUACUCAGGCCAAGUUUUUGACUUUUACUUCGACAUCAUGAAUGUGAUCAUACCAAAGGUCUACUUGGAUUUUGGAGAAGAGCGUGAGUAUGAUCAACCGACUCAGUCGACAAGAAUAUCUGGUGAAGUUAUAUCUCGUAUCCUCAACGAUCUCAGAGCAGCUAGCACCUUAGCCGUUUGCCCUUAUAUCCUCCAGGUAUGUUUAAGUGUUCACAUCUUAAAAUUAAUAUUUGAAUUCUUUUAUAGUAGUAGUUUGUUGAAAACCAGAAUAGAAUUUACCAGGUUAAAUAUGUGCAUUAGUUUUUAGAUCUGAACAUAGGUUUAUCCAAAUAACAUUUUUGCAUCUGAACAAAUUAUUUCCCUCACGUUAUUUAGUUUAUUAAAGUCAUUUUGAAGAAGAUGAUUUAUUUGAACCAUUUAUUCCCUAAUAGUAUAUAUAUAUAUAUAGAUCGUUAUUAAUGUAUUUUUGAUAUUGACAUGUGUUUCUUUUCUUAUGGAAGACAAUCCGAGAAUGUAAAAAGCCAUUUUAUAUGCUUCAACCUAUGGAAACACGACACUUGGUGCUAAGAACGAAGAUGAGUACGAAGGAGUUGAAUGGAAUCAUUAUUCUUCUCAAGAACUGUCCAAACUUGGAGACUCUAAGUUUUGAGAUUCUUCCUUCACGUCCUUUCCAGGUAAGAUAUCUAUACAUAUAUGCAACAGAGUAGUCACAUUUAUUAAUACUUACAUGCAUGAUUUUCAUUUAUUAUUUUGUAGAGAAAUUCGUCAUAUGAAGGGAUCGAUCCGAAAACGUUUUGGAUGCAGAACAGAACAUGUGAGAGUCUAAGGAAGACACUGAAGGUCGUGGUGGUAAGGGACUUUGGUGGUUCCUCAAACGAGUUAAAUGUAUUGAGGUAUUUGAUUCGAUUAGCGAGCGGGGGUGGAAAUGCAUUGGAAAGGGUAGAGCUUUAUGUGCCGAAUGGGAUGGAAGAAAGUCAAGCGAUGGUGGUAUUUGCGAAAGCGGAGAUGUUACAGAGAACUUCGAAGCAUGUACAAGUUCUUUGUGCACAACUCUUGGAAAAUUGACCUUUUCAAGAGAUUGUUCACUAGUGGGUUUUGUUUGCCCAUUUAGCUAUGGUUUUUGAAUUUUUAUUUAUUGACAUUAAAGGAAGCAGGCUUCCGAAGUUUGGUUUGUUUGAUUUAUGUUUAAGAACCUCGGAGAAUUGAGAACUUUAUUUAUGUGAACCAAAAAUAAUAAUAAAUGUUUUGAGUAAUAUAUAUCAAUAUGAUAAUAAUAUUCUACAAUUUAAUCGCGUUUCGUUUAAACUACAGCAUUUAGUGAUCUAUACAUAAUACAUGAGUUUGGUGGACAACCACGUAUGUACUUCAUUAGAGAUCGAUCUGCCAAAACCCCGUCGAGUCGUCUGUACUGUUAUCAUCAUCGUCUAGUAGUCCUAAGUGUUUCCAAGCAGCUCUGACCAAGCGAGGGAUUGGAGGACGUAACAUGGUUAUUCUACGCUGCUUGAUUUUAUACAUUGUUUGUACGUAGACAGGCUUGUAUCUAUAAUCCCACCACCAGACAAAACGUGACCUUACCAGCCGUCAAAUCCAACAUCUUUGGCCAAGAAGAAUUUAGUAAGAAUGUCCUCUACUUUUUCGGACACGAUCUUGUUCUUGAUCAAUACAAAGUAGUCUGCACUGUUGUGAUAUCCUCAAAAGAUAUUGAGAGGAUAACAUGAUCUGAGCAUUGGGUUUAUGUACUAGAAGCUGGAGGUUCGUGGAAAAGAAUUGAGUUUGAUCAACCUCACCUUCCUACAAGACAAGGAGUGUGCAUCAACGGAGUUAUAUAUUAUAUGGCUUCCACUGGUUUGUCUCCCCUAGCCAUUGCCAGUUUUGACGUUAGAUCUGAAGAGUUCAAUAUGUUCUCAUCAUGUAGGUAAGCUUGUGGGUUUUAUAGAGUAUGGUGGAAAGCCAGCUAUUAUUGACAGGGCCGGUCCAAAGUUUCAAAAUUUUCUUUGAUACCCUACGCAUAACUAAAAAUUUAGGCCUUUUUGUUAAUGUAAAAAAAAAAAAUUCUCCCAAAAAAAAUAUUUUAUAAUGUGAGACCCUAAGCGAUGGCUUCACUUGCUUGCCCUCCGGACCGGCUCUGAUUAUUGAUCAUACCCAUCUUAAUUAUAUGCAAAGGUUUGGUGGAUUUAUGGCUCUUUGAAUAUACUGGAAAAUGGUCAAGGAAAUCUCUGGUUUUGCAGCCUUAUUGUCAGGUGCAUUUUUUACUCGAUAACAACAUUAAUCUGACGGUGGAAGGUACACCACAAAACGGUGAGGUUAUCUUUGCAUAUAAACCUUUCCUUUACCACCCUUUUUACAUUUUCUAUUAUGAUCUGCAAAAAAACUAUUUGAAAAAGGUUAGAAUCGGAGGAAUACCAUUAUAUUGGUUUGGUAAGCAUUACACCAACUUGAAAUUUUAUUUCAAGCAUAUGGAAAAAACAGAAACAUCAUGCACUUGGAAAUUUGAAAGCCUCUGCUUUCAAGUUUUUCAACCUAAGAUUUUUUUUUUUGGUAAGAGAGGGGGAGACAAUGUCUCCCUAUUUAUUAAAAAUAAAAAAUUGACUACAAACGAACAUCCCGAGGCCGCGAGGACCCAAUAACAUCAUCUAGCACAAUCGGACGAACACAGUCCGGGCUAGCUACAAAAGAAUGAAAACCCAACGGAAGAGUAAACGCAUAGUUCGCUAAUCCAUCGGCAAGACGAUUAGCUUCCCUAUACACGUGACCAAUACGGACUAUCCAGUCCCUCGAAAUAAAGCCAUAGCACAAACGUACUAGGAAAGACAGCGGAUGAGAAUCACUUAUCCCUGUCUUCAAAAAACCGACCACAAUCUCAGAGUCUACUUCCAACUCCAAUCGCGUGAUGCCCUUCUCCCACGCAAUGUACAGACCGUAGUAAACUCCCCAAAGUUCCGCAAGCGGGGCGGAGCAUAUACCAAUAUUCAAAGCAAAGCCUCCCAACCAGUCCCCGUUUCCAUCCCGCAAGACUCCUCCCGCAGUCGCCAACCCCGGGUUACCUCUCGAUGCUCCGUCCGUGUUCAAUUUGGUCCAACCCCCUACUGGCGGAGUCCACGCUAUCAAUCUCGUCUCCCUCACGAUUGUGAUACCAUCCCCUGCCACGGCUUUAUGAGCCACAAAAAUCUCCUUUGCCAGAUCUUUUAAGAAUUGAACCCGAUCACGACAUUUACCCAUCCCGCCAUAGAUGUCCCCGCAGCGCCACUUCCACCCCCACCAAACAGCCACCGCAAACAAUGUAGCCCAAGAGUAACUAUCCCUCUCCGCACUAUCACCCAAAUUCUCGUAUAACCACUCAAGUAGAGAGGUAGCAAAAAAGGAUGUUUGCUUCCUUCUGGGAACAAGUCUUCUCCACACUCCAUCCAUUGACAAGCAGUCUCGCAACACAUGAAUUAUGGUCUCCUCUCCACUAUUACACACCGUACACAAACCCGAUGCACAGAGAUGACGGCGGGCUCGCUCCGAGUUUACCAUGAUUGCUUGGUUCAACACGAGCCAGAGAAAAGUUCGGACUCUCUCCGGAGCUUUUACUUUCCAAACCCGAUCAAAGAGUUUCCCCAAAUCCUGUCGCGGUGACUCGUCUCUAAUUAGCAAUGCGUACGCUGAUCUAACCGUGAACCUCCCAUCGGAAUUCUCACCCCACGAUGGUCUAUCUAUAGCUCCGGUGACAUUGUCAAGUACCACCGAGGUCAACUUCAGUCUCGUGCUCUCUGAGAUGUAUGGGCUGAGCUGAGAAAAAUUCCAACCCAUCCCGUUACUCCAUAAGUCACAAACCCGAGUCUCCUCAUACCCAUCUGGUAAAUUCCCGACCACCACUUCAGCUAGAGUCUUAUUCAUUAGCCACUUAUCUGUCCAGAAUCGAAUCUCCUUACCAUCUCCAAGGACCCAGCUUAUUCCUGGCAUCAAUCCUUCCCGUAUGCCCAUACUCACUCCUCGCCAGGUUGAAGACCAUAAGCUCUUCACCACCAGCCACGAUUUGUCAUGAAUCAGUCCCACCUUAUACUUGGACCGUAAUACCCGCGCCCACAAGCUCACCUUAUCAUUCAGUAACCUCCAUCCUACCUUAGCAAGUAGUGCUUUAUUCAUAUCCUGUGAGAUUCUUAUACCCAGCCCACCUUCAUGCUUUGGUAAACAGACCCAUUGCCAUGCUACAAGAUGUUGCUUCUUCUUCUCAUUUGUACUACCCCAUAAGAAGGAUCUUGACACCCGAUCAAGCGAGUCCAGUGUUGCUUUAGGCAGUGAAAUCGUGCUCAUCGAGUGAACCGGUAUCGAUGACAAUACAGAUUUCGUAAGCGUUAACCUCCCAGCAAAGCUUAGGAACCUUCCUUUCCAGCCAGACAACCGCGAGGAAACUUUUUCCAAUACUUCACCAAAAGUAUCCUUAUUGAUUCUUUUGUGUAACACCGGCAUUCCCAAAUACUUCCCCAAAUCACGAGUCGCUUUGAUGCCGCUUUCAUCACUAAUGAGCUUUGAUAGAUCCCGACUUACAUUCUCAGAAAAGAAGAUUUUCGAUUUCUCCAGGCUCACCUUCUGACCUGACGCAAAACAGAAUUUCUCCAAAACUUUCUUAAUCACACGAACUUGAGCCACCGAUGCUUCAGCGAAGAGAAUUAAAUCGUCUGCAAAGCAAAUAUGAGAUAAUUUUGGUCCUCCUCUAGAGAGACUAAUCGGCUUCCAGUCUUUCAAAUCAACCGCCAAUUCAAUCAAAUGACACAACCGUUCCAAGUAUAACACAAAAAGGUAUGGCGAUAAAGGAUCGCCUUGUCGCAGUCCCCUUUCCGGUUUGAACGGCUCAGUCUUCUCUCCAUUCCAUAAAACCGUCAUCGAGGGCCCCUCCACACAUUGCAUUAUCCAACGUCUCCAAUCCUCCGAAAACCCUGCCACCUUAAGUGUCUCAUCAAGAAAGUCCCAUCGAAUGCGGUUAUAGGCUUUCUCUAAGUCUAGUUUGAGGAGCAUCCAACCUUUCCUUCCUUUUUUGCGUCUCAUCGAGUGUAUCGCCUCUUGGACCACAACUAUAUUAUCGGUACUUAAUCGGCCCGGGAUGAAGCUCGCUUGGGCGGGACCAAUGAGUUUAGGCAUCACCGUCUUAAGUCUCAUAACCAUGACUUUAGUAAUAGUCUUAAAUAAGACAUUACAUAAGCUUAUCGGUCGAAACUGCGCCAACGUCUCCGGUUUAGCAACCUUAGCGAUCAACACCACUAGUGCAUCAUUAGUCUCAUCUGGCAAUACGCCUGUUCUGAAGAAAUCAAGCACAAAGCGUACCACUGACUGACCAACAACAUCCCAACAUUCAUGGUAAAACACCGGUUGAUACCCAUCCGGACCAGGUGCUUUAAAUCUUCCCAUACUACGGAUCGACUUCUCAACUUCUGUGGCUGACACUGACUUAUUCAACUCUGUGAUCUCUGCAUAUGAAAGCUUCGCAAAACCAGUUUGCAACAAACCCGCAGCAUUCAUAUCCACACCCUCCGUCGAAUAUAGCUUCUUAUAAAAUUCCAUCGCCAAGCCCUCUAGUUCCUGUGGAUUAGAGACCCAUCUACCCUCCUCAUCCUUUAACAUUUCAAUUCUGUUCUUUCUUCUCUUGAUUAUAGUCGAAGUGUGGAAAUAUUUGGUGUUGCGAUCACCCAACGCUACCCACUUCUCCCUAGAUUUUUGAUACCAAAGGAGCUCUUCUUGUUCCAGCACUACAUCAAUCUCCUUUGUUAACUCUUCCUCCUUACUCAAAAGAACAUCUGUUUGGUGUAAAUCCAAUUGAUCUUGAACAGCUUUAAUUUCCUGUAACAAGCUCUCCUUUUUUUUUAAUAUGUCUCCAAAGAUUUCUUUAUUCCACUUCUUCAGAUCCUCUUGUAAUCCUUUCAACGCAUCUGAUGUUGAUAUAUUGCCAUUCCAAGAGUUCAACAACAGCUCCUUGAAACCAACAUGACUCAACCAUGCCGCUUCGAACCGAAACGGUCUGCGUCUCGGGUUACCCUUCGUCUCCGGGGAGAGCUGAAGGAACAGAGGAGCGUGAUCAGAGGCAAGAAAAGGUAGAUGUGUGACGACAGCCUCUUGCCACUUCAGCCGUGAGUGUGGACAACACAAAACCCUGUCCAAGCGUUUGGCCACAAAAUUAUUUGCCGUUCGACCUCGUCGCCAAGUAAAUUUAUUCCCCUUAAAACCCAUAUCAAUAAGAGAUCCUUCAUUUAUCCACUCUCCAAAGGAUAGAGAAUCCGGUGUUAACCUCCCGUUGCCACCAGUUCUCUCGUCAAGCCGAACAAUUGUGUUAAAGUCUCCUCCAAUUAUGAGAGGUUCAUUCACACCUUGUAUCACCUCAUUUAAUUUUGCCCAAAGACCACUUCUUCUACUCACUGUCGGGGCUGCGUAUACGACUAUCAUAUGAAAAAUAUCUGUUCCAGUAUCCACCUUCGCAUGAAUAAAUUGAUCAGAAGUUUCUAUAAUCGAUAUACUCCCCAGGCUCGACCUCCACAAAAGCCAAAUUCCACCACUCUGUCCAACUGCAUCAACUCUGAAAGAGUUUUCAAAUCCCAAACCAUUGCAAAUGCGGCUUGCACGAUCUCCACCAGCGUGCGUCUCAAACAAAGCCAACAUAUCUGUAUGAUUUUUCUUUAAAAUGUAACGAAUCGAUCUUCGAAAAUUGGGUUUAUUCGCCCCCCGGCAAUUCCAUAGUAAGCAAUUCAUCAUUAAAAUGUAUAUUCGGUCGAGAACCACCGGGAAAAACCGUUAUGCACCCGUCUGUCCCUCCUUUCCAUCCGGAGGAUCACUCUGCACGACCAUAACCCCACUCCUCAAUUCUUCCUCUGAAACCAGCUGUGUACUCCGCCUCCAUCACUACAUUAGUUUUUCAACCUAAGAUUAUCAUUAUCUAAUUGUUUUUUGCCUUCAAUAAUACAAUGCUACUAUUUAAUUAUUUUGUAAUUUCUAUUCUACCAUGUUACAAACAAACAAUCGUUAGAUAUUAUUUCUCUCUUUUUUUUUUUUAUUAUAAUUGGAUUAGUUUAUCAAUAUGGAUGGGUUUUUGGGAAAACGAUGAUGAUUCAUGAGUUAUAUAUAAUUAGGCCAACAUUGUUAAUCGCUAAAGGUACAUGGUGUGAACUUCAAAUCACAGAACAAAUAUAGUAUACGAGGUAUGUUGAUCUAAUGCCGGAUAGAGUCUUUUGCUAGAGAGUUAGCAGCUUUCAAUCAAUUGCUUCUAUAUUGACCAUGUCAUGAUCAUAAUCGGAGCAAGAGUUGCCGUAUCGGAAUAGAGACUGGAUUUUGAGCCUGUGGAGACUGAAUUUUAACUAAUCACUAUGCAUGGUAUCUCAUCACUUUUAGCAGACAAAAAUAUUGAUAACUCCGACAAGAGAUGAUAACAAUAUAUGGUAUUGAUUUAUGUUUCACAAAUCGGGAGCAAUAUAAAAAAAAACUAAGAUAUAUAAAUAAAUACAAACGGAGACUUGUUGAAAUUUUUAUUUUUUGGGAAAAAGAUUGAAAGAUACAGAAUGACAAAUUUGCAUUAGCAUGUGUACGUGUAACGAAAAAGUAUAUUUUUGGUUAAAUUACCAUAUUUGUACUCGAAAUAGUUCAACAAUAAUAUAAAAUUAUACAUAAAAAUCACAUUAGUCAAUUUAAAUCUCAACUCAUAAGCGAAAUCACAUUCGCAAGAAAAAAACGAAACCUCUCUCAGAUUGAAAUCGAAAGCACGGAUUUUUCUUCAAAUCUGCAGGAUCCAUUCAUGAUUUCGAAGAUCUGUUUAUCAAUUCUCAGGUAAAUCUCCAGGAUCCAUUCAUGAUUCUCGUAUUGAUUCCGCUCUUAACCCAAGUUGGUUAAAAAUCUAGAGUUUUGAUCGGAAUUGUGAUUUUGAUUUCAGAUCAGAAGCUUCUACGAGUUGAUUAUAUGCUGUGUUUGCAGAUCUGGGUUUGGUUAUAUUUCUGAGUAAAUCUCUCACCCAACACCAUGUGUGAUCAAAGACCAAAUCUUUUAGGGUCUCUCGUGUUGUUGGGUUUCUUCAUCUUCUUUGUUAAUGGAGAAGAAUGCUCAAACUCGAGCUCUUUGAUUGGGCACGAGUCUGAGUUCAAGAUGUUGCAACACCAGCUUCGUGGGGUUUUCACUGUUGUUGAUGAUUGUUCGUUUAGGGUUUCUCGUUUCGAUAUGCUCUCUGGUUCUGAUGUUCAUUGGUGGGGUGCUAUGACUUCUGAUUUUGAUAAUAUGACUAAUGAUGGCUUUGUUAUCUCUGAUCAGAAGCUUAAUCAAACAUUCAAAAACGCAUCUUUUAUUGUUCGUUUGAUAGGUAAUGUUACUUGGGAUAAGUUAGGUGUCGUUUCUGUGUGGGACUUACCUACUGCUUCUGAUUUUGGGCAUGUUCUGCUUUUGAAUGCGACGGAAUCACCUCCUUCAGAGGGCAAUGAUGUUGCUCCAGGGAAAUCUAAUAACAGUGAGCCUUUUAAGGCUCCAACCAUGUUUGAUAAUUGUAAGAAACUUUCCGAUAAGUAUAGGCACAGGUGGAGCUUGAAUGCAGAGAAAGGUUAUGUUGAUAUUGGUCUAGAGGCUACUACUGGUUUAUUGAACUACAUGGCGUUUGGUUGGGCUAAACCGAAUUCUACAUCGAAUCUGAUGUUGAAUGCUGAUGUUGUGGUUACUGGGAUUAGAGAGGAUGGCUUCCCGUUUGCUGAUGAUUUUUAUAUCACGGAGUCUAGUGUGUGCUCUGUGAAGGAAGGUACAGCUACUGGGGUUUGUCCUGACACUGUGUAUGAAGAGGCAGAUUCAGUUGGUUCUUCGGUGAAUAACACAAAACUGGUUUACGGGCAUAGGAUAGAUGGAGUUUCGUUUGUUAGGUAUAGGAGACCGUUGAAUGAUAGUGAUAAUAAGUUUGAUUUUCCUGUGAAUUCAACUGAAAAUCUGACAGUUAUUUGGGCACUUGGGGUGAUAAAACCACCAGAUGUUAUUAAUCCUUACUAUCUUCCCGUGAAUCACGGCGGUGUGGAAUCAGAAAACUUUGGGCAUUUUUCGCUUAAUCUUUCGGAUCAUGUGGAUGAAUGUUUGGGACCAUUGGAUGCAGAAAACAAGUAUGAUCAAGAUGUGAUCAUUGCUGAUGCCCACGCACCUCUUGUUGUCACGGCCGGACCAUCUGUGCAUUAUCCAAACCCUCCAAAUCCUUCAAAGGUUCUGUAUAUUAACAAGAAAGAAGCGCCGGUACUGAAAGUGGAAAGAGGGGUUCCUGUUAAGUUUUCAAUAGAAGCAGGACAUGACGUUUCUUUCUACAUAACUUCAGAUUUUCUUGGUGGGAAUGCUUCUUUAAGGAACAGAACUGAGACAAUCUAUGCGGGUGGGCAAGAAACUCAUGGAGUACUGUCGAGUCCAUUGGAGCUGGUUUGGGCUCCUAAUAGAAAUACACCUGACCAACUGUAUUAUCACUCAAUUUUUCAAGAGAAAAUGGGUUGGAAGGUUCAGGUUGUUGACGGUGGACUUUCGGAUAUGUACAACAACAGUGUUAAUCUAGAUGAUCAGCAAGUUAAGUUCUUUUGGACCAUAGUAGGGGAUUCAAUAUCGAUUGCAGCUCGUGGUGAGAAGAAAAGUGGGUAUCUUGCAAUUGGUUUCGGUAGUGAAAUGACAAACAGUUAUGCUUAUGUUGGUUGGUUUGAUAGAAAUGGAACAGGGCAUGUAAAUACUUACUGGAUUGAUGGAGAAUCCGCUUCGGCUGUGCAUCCUACAACCGAAAAUAUGACAUACGUGAGAUGCAAAUCUGAAGAGGGAAUCAUCACACUGGAGUUUACCCGUCCCUUGAAACCGUCAUGCAGUCAUCGAGAUAGACCAGAAUGUAAGAAUAUGAUAGAUCCCACAACUCCUCUUAAAGUGAUAUGGGCAAUGGGUGCUAAAUGGACAGAUGGUCAGUUGACUGAGAGAAAUAUGCACUCGGUUACAAGUCAGAGACCUGUCCGUGUAAUGUUAACACGUGGAUCCGCAGAAGCAGAUCAAGAUCUAAGACCGGUCCUGGGGGUUCAUGGAUUUAUGAUGUUCCUUGCUUGGGGAAUUCUGCUUCCCGGUGGAAUAUUAUCUGCUAGAUACCUGAAACACAUAAAAGGCGAUGGCUGGUUCAAGAUUCAUAUGUAUCUUCAAUGUUCUGGUCUAGCCAUUGUCUUCCUCGGCCUCCUCUUCGCAGUAGCUGAGCUUAAUGGUUUCAGCUUCAGUUCAACCCACGUCAAGUUCGGUUUCACAGCUAUAGUUUUAGCUUGCGCUCAGCCCGUGAACGCUUGGCUAAGACCUGCGAAACCUGCUCAAGGAGAAUUAAUCUCUUCAAAGCGGUUAAUCUGGGAGUAUUCUCAUUCGAUCAUCGGUCAAUCAGCUGUUGUAAUUGGAGUUGUCGCGCUUUUCACGGGAAUGAAACAUCUAGGAGAAAGGAAUGGAACUGAAAACGUGGACGGGCUUAACUUGGCCCUCGGGUUAUGGGUCUUCCUCUGUGUGGUUACUGUUGCGUAUUUGGAGUACCGGGAACGAAGAAGAAGAAAAGCGAGGAAUCUAAGCAGAGGGAAUUGGGUUUUGGGGAAUGUUGAAGAAGAUGAUUCGAUUGAUCUAAUAGACUCAAGAGGAGGUUUCAGAGAUAAAGAUGAUGAAGAUGGAAAUGGAGGGAGGAUGGAAAUUCAGUUAGAGCCGUUGAAAUAAUAGUAUUUUUUUUGUUUAUCUUUUUUUGUUUCAUUACCGAACAAGAAAGAAAAAAAAACAAGAGGGAGUUUUGUCUUUUACUUAUAAAUGCAACGGUCGAUAUAUUGUAUCUAUGCAUUAGAAUUGUAUACUUUUGAGAAUUUGAAUUUUAUAUACUACACAAUCAGUUUUGAGUUAUUUUUUACUUGACACUUGAACGGUCUCUAAUAGUUGAUUUCGUCAGUGACUUAUUCCUCGACUAAUGCGUUUAAUUCCAGAACUCGAAGGAGGUAUGAUGAUAACGGUCGUUACUGUGUCGCCAGCGACAAGAGUAUGUGAAAAGAAUGUUGAUCAUGGGGAUAAAGACUUGUAACCAUUGUAAGGUAUCUCAAAUUCUUCAGUAUCAAGAGUAUGUGAAACAAUGAUUAUCUCAACUAUUUGUUUUAAAAAUUCAAAUUAUCCGUCCAAUAAAAACAACAACAUCCAAGCACAUCACUAAACUAUUGUCAUUAAAAUGAAAAUGCACAAAACUAACGUUAUUUUCAUUCAACUAUAUAUAUAUAUAUAUAUAUAUAUAUAUAUAUAUAUAUAUAUAUAUAUAUAUUUUAUCGACGAUUUUCAGUCGACUCUUUUUAAAAAACUUAUGUACAAAAAUGAUAAAUAAUUAAAGUAGACUAAAUUAGGAAUCGUAGUCGAUAAUGGGUUCACCUAAGGUCAAAUUUCUGUCAAUCUUCCAAGGCAAAUUAAAAAGUUUAGCCAAAAUGAAUUUGAAGAUCUUGUUCACAUUUAUGUUGUGUGUUGCACUUGAAAAGAACAAUGAUGCCUUCAUCACCUUCGCGUACGCUCUCGCCUAAUAUAUCAAAAUAUCAAAUAAAACCAAAAAAUAUAUUUUUAUAUGGAAAUGAAUUAUUCCAAAAAUCCAAAUGUCUAAAUCAUCAUGAAAACGUAGAAUAUGAAAAAGGGUCUUAAUUAGUUACGUGGUAUGAUUGGUAUACCUGAGUGACAAUGGUCCACUGAAGAUUGGGUGGGAGCCGAACAAAGUCAUCGAAUUUUGUUCCUAUUAGAAUCGGAAUUGCCGUCUGAUAAAAGAAAACACAAAUUUAUAAAACUACCUUUAAGAUAAAAGUAUUUUGUUGGAAUCAGAUUCUAAUGUUCAUAAAUAAUAGAUUUGUAUAAGACACUAUGCAUUGAUCAACUAAUAAGAAAAUUCGACCGUGCUAAACCCAAAAUAUGAACCACUUUUAUGUAAAAUACCGUAACGCCGACAAAAAAAAAAAAACAAGUUAUUGAAACUUUUAAAUGUUUUUUUUAACGAUGACAAAAAAACAUUAAAAUCCUUCUAAAGUUUUUAGUAUACAUUUUUUUUUUUACAAAACUCAAUCUAAAUCGAUAUUGAAAAUGUUUGGAACAACUCAAGUUAAAUUUGGUUUCUUUACUUACUAAAUUAAAAAAAUAAUAAUAAUAAACAAAAAAAAUUGCUUUAACGUACCUUGUUCCAUUUUCUUGCCUGGCUAUACCACCCGAAGACUCUGCAAAAAACAAAACAAAACAGAAAAUUACGAGUUUUCUUAAUAAAUAUCAUUUCAGCUAAAAAAAAUAGAAGAAUUAAAUUGAUGAAGAAAUUAAAAGAAAAAACCUGUUAAGAGUAGAUCGACUGGUUAGAUCAAACAUGAACAAGAUUGCUACUGCAUCUUUACAAGCAAUUGGUAUAUGAUCUUUUGAUCUCUUUUCAUCACCUACAAUCAUUUUCCAAUCUCCUAAUAAAUUAUUAACAAAGUACGUAAUUGCCAACACACUAAUUAAUCACCAAUCCAUAUUUUAAUUUGAUUAAUUAAAAUUUAAUUUGACUCACCUCCUACAUCCCAAAUGCUAAACGAAAUAGUAACUCCUUGAACAUAAAAAGUUUUGUCCAUCAAAUUCAAACCCGUCAUCUCCAAGAAACCUUGAUUCUCAUCUCCAACAUAUUUUAUCUUUCAAAAAAAAACAAAAACAUAUGAGAAUUAGUCAGUUAAUCUAAGUUAUACUAUAAUCAAACGGUAAUAAUUAAUACUUAACACAAGAAUUCAUACUUACUACAAAAGUAGUCUUCCCUGUUUGACAAUCGCCUAAUAGACUAAUCUUGAGACUAACCAAAUCCGAAUCCGAACCUGAACCAAACCUUCUAGUGGAAACAGUAUGUUCGGUCGCAGUGUCGUCGUCUCCGUCGAAGAUAUCACCGGCUGUUGAAGAAAUCCGGUGAACGAUUUGCCGGUAAAGAAUAGGUUUUUCGAUGAUACUUGAACAAGAAACGAUUUUUCUCCAUAAAAACCUAAAAAAAUCUCCAAAGAUUGAUACCCUCUCGAUGAUUCUCCAUUUUAUGUUCACGUGAACUAUUUUCCGGCAGAAAGGAGUUAACUUUCCGGCGAUCUCAUGGACUUUCUCAGCCAUUGAUGAAACAGAGAGAGAUAGAGAUGUGAUCUUUUGGCGUUCACAAGCUCACAUCUUCUUUUUGUCUUCCCUUUAUGUUUUUUUUUUUUUAAGUUGUCUCAUCGAUGUUACUGUGUAAAUUGGUAGUUAUCGGUUUAUAUGGAUUGGUAGUUGACCCGUCUUCUUAGGAAAUACCUAUAUUACCCCUAGUUGAUGCGUUUAUUCCUUUCGGUUUUAAGUUCUUGGCGUGUUGUGAUGGAAGGGUAUUAUAGUCAAUUUAAGAGCAAAUUAUCUACCCAUGAAGUAAACCCCAAGUGUACGUGUCACUGCUCACUAGUUAUCAUUUGAUUAUUCAUCUUUUGUUCUUUUGUCAAUAUUUGAUUAUUCGUCUAAAUUUAAUCUUUAUCGAUAGUGUUCUCUUGUAGUUUGUUCUUAUUUGAAUACUUAUUCAUUUGUAUUGUUUAUCUAUUAAAUAAUUAUGCUUCCUACAGUGUAUUGUGAUUUGAUUUAAGUAAUUUCUAUAGGAAAUUUACCAAGAUUACUGAGAAAGGAAGAAUAAUUUUAUCAGUUGAUGUGUUAUGUAUGUAUUUGGGAACAGAAAAAGGAUAAUCAAAUGUUAUUUGCUCAUAAAUUUGAAUAAGUGACAAUGACUGUUGCUAUAGUAACUCCAUUUGAAACACAAAGCACGAGAAUCUUGAGAAGCGUUUUGUUGAAGGAAACAAUUUUGUUAUUUUUGGUCUUUUCUUUUUAAAAUAGGCUAAAAAGUAUAGUAGUUUCUUAAAGAAUGGGUAUAAGCAAAGAAAAACAUUUGUGGUCGACCAUCGAUACAGAUGCAGUUACUGUUGGUAGUUCUAUGUCACAUUUAUUACUUUUUAUUUAUUAAUCUCUCGAAAGGGUUCCAUCCCUUGUUUUAAAAAUCGCUAGGCGCUAGUCGGGCGCUCGGCAUGGGCCUAGCGAUUAAUCGGAAAAUCGGAUUAAAAUCGGAGAUUAAUCGGGGAUUAGUUUUAGGGUUAUUUUAAUAUUUUUAAAAUAUAUUAAUCCAAUAUUGUAAAAAUUUAUGAUUUUUAUUACAAAUUUAUGAUUUUUAUUAAAAUUUGAACACAAGUUAUUGUAAAACAUCACAAACUCUCCAUUCAAAUGAUUGAAUAACAAAAAUAAAAAGUUUUUUUAUACUUGCAAUCUAAAAAAUAAUCGGGGUAUAUAAGAUUAGGCGGAAAGUAAUCGGAUUAGGCGGUGAAUAAUCGGGUUACUGAUUUUUUAGGGGAUUAGUCAUUAAUCGAGGCGGAUAGGGUGGGCCUAGCGAUUAAGCGGGGAGUAAUCGGGACUAGGCGGGGAUUUUUAGAACAGGGGUUCCAUCCAACAAAAAGAAAUCUAUUUACUUCCAAUCUUGUUAACAUUUAUGUUUACAUGCAUCUCCGUUUAUGAACAAAUAACAAUUUGUAAGUAAAUUAUAGACUAUCAAAAUCAAUAGAGAAUCUAAAAUUUAAUGGUUAAUUACAAAAAAUAUUAAUGGCAUAGCUUUGUAGUUCCUGAAUAGGGCAUUUCAAACACACGCACAAAAAAAGGAAUUUGUUGGCUUGUCCCUCUCGCCUCUUCUUUUAUAACACUUCUGGAAUUUUGUUAUUCAUCAGCAAUAUUUCUUUUAAAAUAUUUUAUUUUUCAUGUUUAUUAUACGUCAAUACAUGUUUCGAAACCAUGACAUAUUAAAGCUUUUGUAUCUUGGACGUUUUAAGUAAAACAAUUAGAUAUGAGAUGAUUUUAGAGAAUCUAUAUGCGGUGACCACAUAAGAUUGAAAAAUUAGUUCUCUCUCAUUUUCAAUUUUAUCGUCUACUGUACAACAAAUUUAGACUAUUUUGCCCUUAACUUCAACAUUCAUAUUUCUCUCUUUUGUCUGGUAUCUAUGCAAGAAGAAAGAGAGAGUAGAUGAGAAAGAAGAAAAGAAAUGGUUUGGAGGAAGAAGAUCCGGAUUGGACAGUAUAUACAAAUGUUGGAUGGAGAAUCAAAGCUUGAGAUUAUUUUAAUCCUUUCUUGUAGAGAACUGUUAUGAGAGUGGAUCUUAUAAGCAUCCCUAGUUUCUGGGAAUUGAAAUUGAAUUGGUGAUCGUAGAUAAGAAUUAGAUGAAAUUGGCAAUUAGGGGGAUGAGAACGAGGUAGUGGUCACUACUAUUCCGGUGGAUCCUUUGAUGGAGACGAGAAGUAGUUUGAUUUCACCGGAAUUAUGACACUGCUAGUGGUUACUAUUACUACGGUGGAUCCUUUGAUGGAGACGAGAAGUAAGACGGCGGUUAAAGGAGAAGAGAAGAAGGAAGCAACGUCGCCUGCUCUUAGACUCACGGCAGUGGAAUUGUCACAGAUGGGGGAGAAGAUGGAGCAUCUCGGAGACGGUAAAGAGAGUUGUGACGAGGAAAUUGAAAAAAACCCAGUAGAUUAUUUCAAGUUUUCUUUCUCUUAUUUGAUUUCUGAUGUCGAUAAAAUACUUUUUAACAUGUUAAUCAAAUAGUUAUCCACAUAAAUAUUAUAAUAUAUGUAACUAGUUAUUUGUAUAUGAUAUAACAAAUGAGUUGCCACGAUAAAUAUAAAUUUAUUACAUAAAUUAUAAACUUAUCGCGAUACAAUAUGAUUUAACAUGAUAUAUUUAUAAACUUAUCGAUAUAUAUUAUGUUAUCAUGCUAACCUAAUAGAUAAUCAGUUAACUCAUAAUAUGUUCUUACUUAUGUAUUUGAUUCGUUAGAAUCAGAUAAAAUACGUCGAUAACAAUUUUAUUAUAUUGCUAAAUAAUUUGUUAUAUAUGGAGGGGUAUUUUUGUCCAAUUUAUAUAAAUUGAUGAGAGAGAAUUAAUUAUAUAAAAACUAUAGAUGUAUUCUUAAUUUAUAAGUCUUCUGUGUAUUUAUAUUAAUAUAGCCCAUGAUUUUAUCAGACGUCAGUUUUGUUUGGAAAUGUAGAAAGAAUCUAGAUAACGUGUAUGUUUGUUGUCAUGGAAUCUUUAUCUUCAAUCAGAAACUUCGUCUAGAUGAUGUAGUUAAAAAAGUGAAAAUUAUAAUUGUUUAGUCUUUAUGCAUGGUCCAAUAUAUAUACAGUGCCAUAGGUGUAUGUAUACAUACAGAUAAUGGUCUAACUACCAGAACCACCCAAGUUAUUAUAUUUUUGAUUCCGAAUCAAAAUACAACACAUAAUUUUUUCCUAGAGUAUAUGUUUAUUGUAAUUGGAGUUGGUUGAUGAUAAUAGAUUAGUAAUUUCUUUGUUGGUGGAGUCUAACAUCACACAAUAUUUAAUCUCAACACUUGUUAAUAAUUUGAUAUUUGUCUUAACCAAAUUUAUGAUAAAUUAAUGAUAUAUUUAGACAAAUAAAAUAAAAUUAAAUCCACUGAAAUUAACAUGACUUUACUAAAGUUCAUCUAAAUUAGUCAAAUACCUUGAUACGUAUUUAAAAAUUCUCACAUCUUAUGAUUCUUUUCAAUAAUAAUCGUUCACUAUAAACAGUUCAAACUAUCCACAAAUAAAUAAUUUAACAUAAGACUACACAAUAAAUAUAUUAGCCAUUUUUUUUUUUGAUAUUUUUGGAUCGACAAAACCCGAUCCAUAGUCAAUCCUUACUAUACGGGAUAACACGACUUACUGGAGUCGAAUUCCGGUGGAGAAGGCGGAAUCAAAUGAACUUAACCACUUGACUAAAGGCACAUCUCCAAUAAAUAUAUUAGAUAAAUAAUUUGAUCUUUGUCUUAACCAAAUUUAUGAUAAAUUAAUGAUAUAUUUAGACAAAUAAAAUAAAAUUAAAUCCACUGAAAUUAACAUGACUUUACUAAAGUUCAUCUAAAUUAGUCAAAUACCUUGAUACGUAUUUAAAAAUUAUCACAUCUUAUGAUUUUUUUCAAUAAUAAUCGUCACUAUAAACAGUUCAAACUAUCCACAAAUAAAUGAUUUAACAUAAGACUACACAAUAAAUAUAUUAGCCUAUAAAAUCACAAUUUAUAAUCUAACUUCCAUUCCUCGAUAAGUUGGUUCUUCCAAGGUAGACCUGGGCAUAUGGGUAACCCGUUCGGGUUCGGGUAAAACUCGUUCGGGUUCGGGUUGAAUGGGUAAUGAAUUUAUGGUCUAUUCGGAUAUUCCUAUUGUUUCGGUUCCAGUCUAGUUCGGGUAUUAUCGGGUUCGGGUCGGUUUGGGUAAUACCUGAAGUUUAAAAUCACUUUACAUACUCAAAUGAUCAAAUAAAGAGAAUAGAACAUCAAACAUGACAUUUAAAUACUAAAUCCAAUCCAAAAUAACAAAGAUGACUAUUUCACUCUUAAGUGUUAAGAGUAGAUUCUAAUUAUCUAUAUACAUAUAUAAAAAAGUCGUCGGACUUGCUUUCGCCGGUGUGGUGCUCCGAGUCUCUGCUUUAGGUCUUUCAGCAGGGCAAGAGUCAUUUUUCGUGUUGGGCCUUUUCUUAAACUCUCAUUUUUUGUAACUGAGUCUCACUUGUAUGCCCAUGGCUUUAGCCCAUUUUGGGAAAAGCUUUUUAAUAUAUGAGUUUGGUUAAAAAAUAUAUAUAUAUAUAUAUAUAUAUAUAUAAACAUAUGUGUAUUGCAUAUAUAUAAGUAUAGACUAUAUAUCUAAUUAUCUAUAUACAUAUAUAAACUCAAACGUCAAAAGUCACAAAACCUAAAACCUAGGACAUACAUAUAAGUAUAUAACUAUAUAAGACUAUAUAUUUAAUUAUUUAUAUACAUAUAUAAACAUGUGUAUUUCUUCGGGUUUGUGGGUACCCUAAAUGGGUAACGGGUAAUCCCCGACCCGACCCGAUACCCACGGGUAAUCCAAUACUCUACUCAAUGAAUUAAUUUUCUAAUACCCUAACCCGCCCCAACCUAAUUUUUUCGGUCCGGGUAUCGGGUCCGGGUUUUUUGCUCAGGCUUAUUCCAAGGGAUUAAAAUGAAUCUUAUAAAGGUAAUUUAAUAAAAAAAUAAAAUAAGAAAGAACCAAUUGAUGUGUUGGACGGUUGGACCACGUGGAUGCGGAUCAAAAGAGACUUGAUCAACUUAUGGAAACUCAUGAUGAUAGGUGUUUGUUACCGAACAUUCAAGUUCAAUGAUGUGGCUGGUCCUAACUAACCAAAUCUAUUUAAUUUCUUGUUUUUCUUCUUCUUUUCAAUUACCAAAAUCGGAAUUGUCAAGAUUCAAGAAGAACAAAGAGAAUGACAAUAAUAUGCAACGUAGCUAGACUUCUACUUGUCAAAAUAAUUCUCUGCAUAGUCUCUCGAAAGCUCAGUUUUAUCUACUCGUCUUUUCAAACAUAUAUACAAAACACAAUUUAGUGCGUUUAUUCAUGAAUCCGCCCACUAUACUCAUUUCAAUUUAGGUGAAUUAGCCUGUUGAUAAAGAUAGAUGCCAAAAACAAAAUGAAUGUGAAUGACCAAUGUAGCUUCGUUUACAAUUACAUUGUUGGUUUGACAAAGAAAGAUUACAUUGUGAUUUGGUUUAAACCGGUUCAUACCCGAUUUACAAACCAGAUGUGUCACAGAGUAUAUGGCAAAGUUUUGCAGAGCUCUUAACCAAUGCUCUCAUUGAGUUUAGAGAAUCCAAGCUUCUUGAGUCUACUAGUUAUCGGAUUAGCCCAAGCUCGAUCUGGAUUCCCGCAUUUCACAUCCACAAUCUCCACAAUGUUCAUUCUCUUCUCUCUUCUCGGGGUUCCUUGCAACGAUACAUUUUCAGAGCCAAGCAUUGGAAGCUGAUGAGUGCUUUUGGUAUUGUGGUGACCCUUUGGUGUUCUAACAUUAUCAGAGCCAAGCAUUGAAAGCGGAUGAGUGCUUUUUGUAUUGUGACCCUUUGGUGUUCUGACAUUAUCAGAGCCAAGCAUUGAAAGCUGAUGGGUGGUUUUGGCAUUGUGACCCUUUGGUGUUCUAACAUUGUUAACAUUGCUGCUGCUGCUAGCUUCGUCUGAUGAUUUUCUUGGUUUUGUUCUUCUUGGAGUUGAAGAAGAUGUGCCACAGUCUACUGAGACAGGGAUUGUUGUUCUAAUAGGUCUCGUUGUGGGAGUCUGAGGCGAAGGUUGUUUCAUGGAGUCUAGCUCUCGUGUCAUUAGAGUUGCGACUGUUCCUGUUGCUCCUAUUUUUAUCGAUCCUCCCCCACCUUUGAUCAGUUCAAGCUUCUGAACCAUUAUGAAUUUUGUAAAUUUUCUUUCGCCUCUGCGACUCUCUAAGAGGACACUUCUUGAGUUUUAUCCGGCUUUACGGGUCUGAAAACAAAUCUGAAUAAGCAAACAAAGCAUCAAUAUAGAUGGAUAAGUAACCUUCUUAUUUCAAAAAGCAGCAAACCAAAGUACCAAACAAAUACGCCACUAGUUUUGCAGUACCUUGAUGAGGAGUUCAUGUUUUCAAAUUGGGGUAUAUGCGAAAAACGAUUUAGUAGAUGAAGCAAACUUUGAAGCAGAAAAGAGGAACUGAGAAUUCCAUAGAUAGCACCAAUUGUGAAAUGAAAACUGAGAACAAAAAUCAAUAGUCUACUGCAUCAUAACUAAAGUCCUUGACUUUCAAGAACCUGAGUAACAAAAGGAGAAUGAAACCUACAUAUACACAGUUUCAAGCCAUAUCCAGUGUUUUUAAUGUAAAAGAAAAGAAAGAUGAAAUCAAAGCACUAAGAUCAAACUCUAACCAUACUAAUAAGCUGAGAAGAAAAACAUCAAAGCUAUUUAUAGAUACUAGACAUGACACAUUUGAAUAAGAGCUUGGAGCAUAUCAUAUUAUACCACUGGUUCUCUUAACUAAUAUCAAACGUUUAGUAUUUACUUGUUUCAAUCAGAUUGAUUGAAAUACAAGGUUGAAACUUGAACCAAUGCAAUGUCAAUCACAGAAACGACUCAACUUUUAUUAUCAAAAUCAAUCUCUAUCAAUCAAAAGCAAGAGGGAAACACAAUAAUCGAAGUGAUAAAAGGGGGGAGAAAGGAGGAAAACGAAAACCUAGUCACUAGUGAUUUGAAGUAAAACAAACAUGAGAACGACAUUUUUAUGAUUUUAAUCCUUGACCAGUCACAUUCAACAGCCAAGAAACAAAUCCCAGAAAAAUGAGUCAAAAUCACACAAGAGCAAUCACAAAAUUCCCCUAACUAGAAACAACCCUAGCUAAAUAAUAUCAACAGAUCACCAAACAAUGGAUUCGCACAAUAAAAGCUCACCGAUUUAUAAUCGAUCAAGUGAUCAGAAGAAAGCUAAACCCUUUUCAAAUUUCAAAACUUCUAGAACUCCACGAUGUAAAUUGAUCGAAUUGGAUUAAGGAACCGCAUUGAAGAUUAGUAGUAUACGAAGGGAAAAAUAAAAAUCAAAACUUUGGUCUUUUGAUUGGUUUUGAAAUCUGAGUUUUCUUGUGGAACGUGAUGGAUUAAGCAGCGACUAGUCAACGUUCCUUGUUUACAGUGUAGAGUAGAUUCCUCAUUCUUAUUGGACUCGGAGAGUAAUAAUGUUUUACUUUUUGACGAACAAGAAGAGAAAUAUGCAAAUUAUAUUAAAAUCCCUAAUCUUUUGAGUCUAUCACAUUUUUCACCUUAAACUAUCAAUUGUAUCAGAAUCAGAAUGAUUAUAUAAAAACGCAGCCGUUUAAAACGCAGCCGACAAAAUGUAGAAGUAGCUCCGGUCAUUUCAGAAACAAGUUCUGUUCUGGCUGUCGUGUGUUUUGUCUAAGGGAGAAGCGAGGGAAGAGAUUAAAAGAUUAAACCUUUUUCGCCUUCAUGGAUUCGAAGUUGAGGAAUUUCGUGAUGGGUCUGUUUGUGAUGACUGCGAUCUUGAAAGGUUCUGGUGUCGACGCGUGGACUGGCGAGAUUCGUGGUAGAGUUGUGUGUGAUGUCUGUGCUGAUUCUUCAAUUGGGCCAGAAGAUCAUGUUCUUGAAGGUUAGUAUCUCUGUAUCUCUGCUUUCUGUCUUCUCUUUAAUCAGUUUUUAGAUGUUCGAUUGCCGGGAAGAAGAACAAUUGUCUGAUUUUGUGAAAUUCUUUUGAUUCAGCUGUGUAGAACUCUGGAUUGACUUUUAUGUAGUGGUUCUUGAGAAAAGACUGUUGUUCUGAUGGAUUUCUUCAGAGUGAUUACUGUUCAUUUCAAUAGCAGUUGUUUCUUGGGCUUCUCACACAUCAAAUUGGUGUGAAUUUAUCAUUUAGUGCAAUGUUUAAUUGUAAAUAUUUUUUAGUUCUACAGAGUAGUUUAUUAGCCGAAGCUAGUUGGUACUGUUAGUUCUUCUUUCUUGAGCAAAUGGUGCAUAUCUAUGUGAGUGACUGAGUGUGUGUGUGCCUGCAGUUUUUGCAGAUUCUUAUUUGGCUUUUGUAAUAACAGAAAUCAAAUUUAGAGCGGAUUAUGGUUUGUAUCAUCUCUUGUCUCGUUGCAACUUAAAAGUUUGUUAUGUUCAUCAUCCUUGUGUUUUUAGCUGCGCUUUUGUAUUUGUCCGAUAGUGUUAAAUCGUUUUUGCAGAUUAUGUUAUGCUUCUAUGUGAAAUCUUGUCAAGUUUUCUGAUUCAUAUUUGGUUCUUUUAAUUACAUGAAUCAAAUUUAGAAGCCCUUAUGGCUUGGAUCAUCUCUUGUCUCUCCGGAACUUAGUAAUUAGUUUGUUCAUCCUUGUUUUCGGCUAGUUUUAUGUAUUAGCCGAUUGUGUUAAAUGAUUUUUCAACUGUGCUUCAUAUUUCAAAUAGUCUUGUUGAUAACUCAAAACCUGGAUUGCUUAGAAGCCACUUGGUUUUAUGUGUUUACAUUGAACAUGAAUGCAUAUUACCAUUCUGCUAAUGAAAUGAACUCAAAUUGGCACUUUUAAACUGUGUUAUGUGAUCCAGUCAUUUCAUGUCAUUGAAGGAUCAAUCACAAUUUGCGAGUUGUUAUUGUUCAAUCUUUACAGGAGCUGAGGUUGCGGUUCUGUGCAUAACGAAAUCUGGAGAAGUUGUGAACUACCAAGCUUUCACAAACUCAAAAGGUGUCUACACAGUUGCAGAGACAAUGCCAGAGAGUGAACGUUGGGACGCUUGCCUUGCAAGACCCAUCAGCAGCUUCCACACACCUUGCAACCGCCUACACCAAGCCAAUACCGGAAUCAAAUUCACUUAUAACCGCCCUUCCGGUUUCUUUCAUGCCGUGAAACCGUUUGUGUAUCGACCACAAUAUGCACCUUCUUAUUGCUGAUUCACAGACUCUUUGUUAAAGUCCUUGUAAGUUUUUUUUUUUUUUUUUUUUACCUUGUAAGUUGGUAAUAUAAUUGAAAUAUACUAUCAAAAUAUGAAAUAGUUUGGAUUUGUAAAAUGCUAAUAUGGAUCAAGCUUAGAUCUUCCUCAAGUGUGUUUGAUUAAAGGAUAAGAAGUUUAUUAUAUAAAGUCUUUAGUCAAAGUCAAAGAGAGACUAGUCUCACAAGGCGGUGACGGGGGAGGUAAAAAACAGUUAAUGUUGAAUGGGUCCUACAGAUGACGUGUCUAAAUAUUAUAGGAUCAACAACGUGUCUCAAGCUUUUUGUUGGAGUAAAAGACGAAAAUAUCCCUAUCGUCAUUCUUUGCGUCAGUCAACUGAAAAAUUGAAUUUUUGUUCUAGACGAGGAAGGAAGCCAUAACUCUGGGAAAUCAAAAAUCGUUAUAAGAAGAAACAGAGAGAUUGCGACGGGGACAAAAUUCUGAUGAACCGGAGAAUCUAAGAAACGUGUUUUGUCUAAUUUCUUGCGAUUAUAAGAUGAUACAUUGGUUGAAGCAGCUGCGAUCGGCGUUUGGCGUCGCGUUUCUGUGGCUCGUUUGUCUCAUUUACUUCACUCAGGUUUGCUUUGGAUUUUCUCUUAGAGUUUUGGCAAAUUCAUAUGUAAAUGGCGAUUCUCGCGUUGAGCCGAAACAGAAAUGGUGAUUGAUUCUCGUUGCUGAUUUUUUGAUUAAGCAGAGAACGCAUUUUUCACGUUGUCGUUGUAUUUACGCUAAAUCGUGAUUAAUAUCGUGAAUCAAAUGCGAUUAGAGAUUCAAAAAAACUUGUGAUUUUGAGAUGUUUUUAAAUUUGAAACGUUAUUGGAUCAAUUUUAUCGCGUUUUCCUCUGUUUUCGUGUGUUUUGAGACGAUCACCAUACAUUUGUUGAGAUCGGUUUGGUUAAUUUCAUGUUAUUUGGUGAUUAAUUAUGUAGAAACUUAGGAUUAGCUAUAACUAAAUUGAUUUUGGUGAUCUUGGCGUAUAUAGGGAUUUAGAUCGUUCGUGUGGACAGCAGUUUCUUACCAGCUCAAAGACAGGCUGCAAUUAUCACCAUCAGCUUCUCAGUUUGUCUUUUCGGUGGCCUUUUUUCCAUGGAGCAUAAAACCAUUAUAUGGGUAUGAAUCUUCAUGAGUACUGAUGAUCAAUGUAUUGAUUCAAGCUAAAUUGGCAGUGAUAGUAGGAGCUUUGUAAUAAUGACAUGUUUUUUUUGGUUUUGGUAGAAUCGUAUCAGAUUGUAUACCCAUUGGAGGGAAAAAGAGGACGCCGUAUUUGGUGUUAUCGACUGUGCUCUCUCUUGUGCCAUGGCUCUUUCUUGGUCUAGAUUCAACCUCGCGAAGUUCAAGUCUUUAUCUGAUGAUUUUCUUGACUGUACAAAAUCUGGGAUCAGCCAUGGCUGAUGUUGUGAUAGAUGCCAUGAUAGCUGAAGCAGUAAGACUUGAAAAGUAAGAUUUUAUGUUCUUUGGUUUUGGAUCCGCACUUAGAUCAUAGUUUAAUGCACUUUGUUCAUUAGUUGAGUUGUUCUUUCAUUGUUUAUUAGGGCCUCGUUUGCUGGAGAUCUUCAGUCUGUCUCAUGGUUUGCAAUGGCUGUGGGUGGAGUAUGCGGUAGUUUAUUAGGAGGCUAUGCAUUAUCCAACUUGAAGAUAGAAACAAUAUUCCUCCUUUUCACGGUACUACCGACGCUACAAUUACUAUCAUGUGCUCUGGUUGAAGAAAUUCCUGCUAACAAUGAACCAUUGCCUGAGUUGUUGGAUUCGAACGAGUUUGAAGAGAAAAGCAAGUUGAGCAGUGAUAACUAUCGAGAUACGAAUAAGUCUAGUACAAGAAGAAGGAAGGGGCAGAAGAAAGGUAAGAAAGGAGCUUCCAAUGGAAAGUCUGAGAAACAGAAGAAGCAAUCAAAGUCUUUAGCUUCACAGUGGUUCCAGUCACUGAAAGCAGCCACUUUUGGUUUGGGCCGUGCGUUCAAGCAACCAAUCAUUUUGAGGUAAUGCACGCUUUCUUAAAUAGUCACAUUUGAAAUUUCGUUGAAGUGUUGCUUUCUCAUUUACUUUCGCUGGUUGUCCAGACCAAUGGCGUGGUUUUUCAUUGCGCAUAUCACUGUGCCAAAUCUCUCUACGGUCAUGUUCUAUUACCAAACCGAGGUCUUGCAAUUGGACGCUGCUUUCCUAGGAACUGCCCGUGUUGUUGGUUGGUUAGGUCUCAUGUUUGGAACCUUUAUCUACAAUCGCUAUCUGCAAGAUAUGACUCUACGCAAGUCUCUCUUGUAAGUCUAAAUAUUUCCCACGCACACAUCAAGACUUGGUUGCAUCUGAUUACUUCGUUCUUUAAGUGAUUCUAAUGAACAAAACAUCAUCGCAGGUUUGCUCACAUCGGGCUGUCUAUAACGAUACUCCUCGAUAUGGUUCUAGUAUCAAGAGAAAAUGUGGGCUACGGAGUUUCAGACAAGACAAUGGUGCUCUUCGGAUCAGCUCUAGGUGAUGCCAUCAAUCAACUCAAGUAAGUGGCUUUGCCUUAUUUAUUUUCUCUGGAACAUUUCUUCCAAGAAUUGUAACUCAAAAUUCAUGCUUUGUCGCAGAUUCAUGCCGUUCCUGAUCUUGUCUGGUCGUCUAUGUCCACCUGGGAUCGAAGGAACACUCUUUGCGCUGUUUAUGUCGAUAAACAACCUAGGAAACACAGUUGGAUCGUUCAUGGGAGCAGGAUUGGCUUCACUUCUAGGAAUAUCAUCAGGGUCAUUUGAGAAUAUGUUUAUGGGCUUAGCCAUUCAAGUGUUUUGCACUUACAUACCUGUUUUGUUUCUUUUCUUAAUUCCAAAAGAAGCUACAGGAGUAUCAGCAUCAUAGAGCAGAGAGAGAGCAAAGCUAGUUUGUCAUAGAAAAAGUUUUAGAUCAGAGUUUUUGGAUUCUAUUUUUUUGGCAGUUUUUAACUUUCUUAAAGGCUUGGAAUUGGCACAUUAUACAGAGUGGAGACUUGUUAUAUACUAAUACUAAAAAAUAUACAGCCUCAUUUUUUUCUUGUCAAUCUUACUUAAUCCAAAGAUGCAUAAUAACAUUUACCCUUUUUUUUUGGUUGGAACUAAAACAGAUUUUAAAUUUUGUUGAAGUAUGGUCGUGUUUCAUCAUAUAGGCUAAUCUCAUACAAAGUCAUACCAGGUUUGUUUUUUUUCUUUCCAAAAUAAGCUAAACUGGUACAACGAUCAAUUUUCAACUUACGUAAUUAGAUGGUUAUUAAUUGGGCUUUUUGAAGUUGGACUCACAUGGAAAAGCAAAAAAAAAAAACCAAAAGUUUAUCAGAGCCAGGUUUCGAUCCUGGGACCUGUGGGUUAUGGGCCCACCACGCUUCCGCUGCGCCACUCUGAUUUAUUUGUUAUUCAUCAUACAUAUAACAUAAUUAAAUCAACUAUCUAUGAUAUGGAGAUUGUCCGACGGGUAUCGCGCGGAGAACAAAAAUGCCGAAGAUAAAAAAGAUGAGACGACGACCAGGAACCGGAAGAUUACGUUGAAGUUUGCACGCUAAAAAGGUUUCAUAAUGGAAAUGGAUGCUUGAUCAGUUUACAGAAGCUAUGCAACCAUCUUCGUCAGAGAAGAAAAAAAGAUCGUGAAGCUGUGACUAAGAAAUCCACAUUUUAGAACUAAAAGAAAUGUUAACUUUUAUGCUUAUGUAGAGAGUCUCAUGAGAUUUAAAAGUUUCUUGCGUUUCAAGGUAAAGCUAGGGGUGGGCAUUUCAAAUUUCGGUUUGGUUCGGAAUAUGUUAUACCAAAUUAGAACUUGAAUUAUAUAACUUGAUUCGGUUAAGCGAAAGUGUAGUGCAUAAGUGAUUGAAACCUACGAAGUUUCUAAUUUGCCAUGAUGUCGGACCAUGUACAUAACGUUGAAGAUUUGAUUUUUGUUGCUUUGAAAAUAAGAUUUUUUUUGUUUUUUUUUUUAGUUAUAAAAUUUUGGGUGGAAGAAACGGCGACGUAUCUUUUAAAUUUGCACGCCAUUGAAACAUACUUCAAGUAUGUACACGUUAGAUCAUUGAUGACGCAACGUAAUUAGAUGAUGACAUUGGGAUUAAGGAAUUGAAAAUAAAAUAAAAACGAACAUGACGAAAAAUUUCUGUUAAUUUCGUAUGUUGUGGUGUACGCUAAAUUAUCUAUCGUGAAUCCGUGUAUAAUGUGAUGUACUUGUAUAGAUCAUGUAAUUAUCGUUGAUUGUCGAAUUUACACAAUAUUAAAAUAUUUGGAUGAUGUGAUCUUACUUUUGUUACCAUGUUUUGGCUGAUAAUCUAUCUCUAUUUAAACAAAAAAUUUGAGAUCAAAUCUAAACUAUUUUCAUAAUCGUUGCAAAAUCUUUUCAAAAAUGGUAACAAAGUAUUUGUGUCCAACCGUAGAGAAAUCAAAAAGACAAAAAAAUCAAUCCACUAUCCAUCAGAUCUCCAAACAUUUUUUAAAAAAGUUACUUAAAAUGUUUAUGUUAAUUGAUCGGGUUAAAAAGAAUAAAGAUAUUUUUUUCCUUCCGGAUUCUAAGCUUUCUGAGAUAAAUUUCCUAGUUAGAAAAUUUGUGAAUUUUGGAUUAUAUUUUAACAAAAUACGUCAGAAUAAAUCACUCAAUUAUUCAAACACAAUAGCGAUGUAUAGAACAACAUAAUUAUACAUUAAGUAAUAUAUAUGGCUCUGAAUACAUAUCAAUUUCCUGUUGAUUUAAAAUAUGCUAAAAGCAGAAUGAAAUUGUUUUAAUAAAUUACAUACAAGAUUAUAUAAAAAAAAUCUGCACCUAGUUAAUGUAUAAUUUUGUUGAUAAUUAGGAUAUAAGCAUCCCUCGACCGUAUAAAUUAAUAGUAGAUUUAAUUUCAAAAUAAUUAAACUUGCCACUUUGAUACGGAAGUUAUUUUCCUUUUUUUUUCUUUUCUGUUUUAUUUUUCUUAAUAUAAAUAAAUUUGAUUAAAUAUCGUGGAGAGUCCCAGAACCGGAAACAUGGCGUCUUCAUCAUCCUCAUCGUCUUCUUCGCUUUCCUCAAUUCUCUCCAUCGUCGUACUGAUUCUAAUUGUAUCAACCGCUGAAUCAGUGAAAUCACCGUUUCAUCCUCGCGAUUUGCUUCCGCAUUUGCCCAGACAAGUCUCAUGGCCGAUUCUCAACUCUCUUUACGGCGCUGCCGAUCUGCUUCCUACUUUCAUCGGAACAGCGAGAUCUGGGAACGAUUCCGUUGACUGGAAAGGGGCUUGUUUCUAUGAUAACACCGCUUGGUUAGAGUUUCAUAACAAGUCUGGUAGCGAGUUUGGUGGAGGCACUCUUCACAUUAAGGUGAAAAUUAAAAAUUGAAGUCAAAAUCGAAUUUUGUUCCUUUGUCAACUAUGAUCGCUCUGUUACUUAUUGAGUGAUAAUGGGAGAUUUUGGUAUAUGGGCACUCUUCAAUUUUGACUUUUGAAACUUCUAUUGUUGACCGUUAGUUAAGUCUAGAAGUUUUGGGAUCCUGGAAAUUAGGAAAAAGAUUUCGAAUUGUAUCUGAUCUUCUUCUCUAGUGUGUAUUCUUAGAAGAUGCUUCCUAAUUCUUACUCAAGUUUGGAUUUUAAGUUGUAUCCUAAGUUUGAUUAUGUUGUUGGUGUUGUUUAUGAAGGCGGAUAAGGCGCAUAGUUGGACGUGUAUGGAUCUUUAUGUAUUUGCAACUCCAUAUCGUGUGACAUGGACUUGGUACUUCAUUUCACGACAGCAUACUGUGGAAUUUCCGGAGUGGGAUGGCAGAGCUGAGUAUGAAUAUGUAAGUUGUUGUUAUCUUUUGUUAGAAUUAUGUAAGGAUUUAAUAUCUAUGACUUUUGUUUUAUGUGUGUUUGGCUACUUAUUGGAUCAGGUUAAGAACCAAGGAGUUUCGAUAUUCCUUAUGCACGCAGGGAUGUUAGGAACACUUCAAGCACUGUGGGAUGUUUUUCCUCUCUUUACCAAUACUGGUUGGGGGGAGAGCUCUAAUCUUGCGUUUCUCGAGAAGCAUAUGGGAGCUAAUUUUGAACCUCGUCCUGAACCAUGGGUUACAAAUGUUACAACUGAUCAAAUCCAGUCUGGUGAUCUCUUAGCUAUUUCAAAGAUCCGUGGGCGGUGGGGUGGUUUUGAGACCCUUGAGAAAUGGGUGAGUGGGGCAUAUGCUGGUCAUUCCGCUGUAUGCUUGAGAGACUCUGAAGGGAAACUUUGGGUUGGUGAGUCAGGAAAUGAAAACGAUAAGGUAACAACAACACUUCAAAGUUCUGCCCUAACGUUAAGUUUUAACUACAGCAAGACUUUUUUGAUGAAGGUUUUUUUUUCUUGUCAUAGGGAGAGGAUGUAAUAGCAAUCUUACCAUGGGAGGAGUGGUGGGCAUUUGAACAAACAAAGGAUGACUCGAAUCCUCAGAUAGCAUUGCUACCUUUGCAUCCCAAUGUUCGUGCUAAAUUCGACGUUGCUGCUGCUUGGAAAUAUGCUCGCAGCAUGGAGGGUAAACCAUAUGGUUAUCACAACUUGAUUUUUAGUUGGAUUGAUACCGUUAGUGAAAACUACCCGCCCCCUCUAGAUGCCCAUAUUGUAGGUUUUUUUUCUUAUUUCUCACAAUUUUUGGUCUUGAUGAUUGAAUACACUUUCAGAUUGUAUUAAAUUUGAGCUUCUCUUUCUUUCAGGUUGCAUCUUUCAUGACUGUUUGGAGCCAAAUGCAGCCUGAGUAUGCUGCUAACAUGUGGAAUGAAGCCUUGAACAAGCGACUGGGAACAGAGGUAUUAAAAUUUGUAUCUUUGUUUCUAUAUACUUUUCGUACUUCUUAAUCACCCUAAUUUCUUAACAUCUUCAUGAUUUUUUGAUGAUUUUUUUUAUUUAGUAAUUAUCCUCGUUAGUGAUGGUCUUAAUAUCUGAUUCUGUAAUAUUUUAUCUUUGAUUUCUGUAUAUGAUCUACAUAUUUCCCUGCUUCUAUAAUUUGACUCUAUUCGUUGUCCCAAUUUUUUCUCUUCUUCUCUAACAUAGUCUAAAUUGCAGGGUCUUGAUCUUUCUGAUGUACUGGUCGAAGUAGAGAAGCGUGGAUCCUCAUUUGACAAACUACUGGCAGUACCUGAACAAGACGAUUGGAUAUACAGCGAUGGUAAAUCAACCUCAUGCAUCGCUUUCAUUCUCGAAUUGUACAAAGAAGCUGGCUUGUUCGGUCCACUUGCUAAUUCUAUUCAAGUCACGGAAUUCACGGUAAGAAUCAGUACACAGUCUCUGUUUCCCUUCCUGCACGCAACCUCUUGUGACCAUUUUCUUUUUUAUAUUUUUUCAAUCUGCAGAUCAAAGAUGCUUACAUGCUCAACUUUUUCGAGAACAAUGCAAGUCGUCUUCCUACAUGGUGCAAUGCCAAUGACAAUGUGAAGCUUCCUUACUGUCAGAUACUUGGGAAGUACAGAAUGGAACUUCCUGGUUACAAUACUAUGGAACCAUACUCGCACAUGAAUGAACAAUGUCCUACUCUGCCUCCAAAGUACAACAGACCAGAUAACUGCUAGAAUACAACUCUUAUCUCUUCCUCAGAUGUCUGAAUUUUAGGAAAAAAAGUUAAAUGUAAUACAGUUGAAAAUUCAACAAUUACUUGAUCUGUUUGUAUAUAUAUCAUUCAGGUUUGUAGCAGCUGCUCAUCAUGUAACUGUUUGGAUAUUUAUACACACAAAUAGAAAAUUUAAAGUUUUAUCUUUUGGACGUCUUGAACAUAGUCAUCUUCCGGUUUAGUUUGGUUUAUCUGGAUUGAACCGGUGUUGUUUAAUUCGCAUCAUCGUCGUACAGAGAAAGUAGUAGCAAAGCUUGAAGCUUUCGAUUUCUAAAUGUGCGGUAUGUCGUUAUCAGGACAGAUGAUGGGCCAUGUCGUGGCCCGAACUCAGAUGAUCUUGUCUCGAAGUAACUUCGCCGAUUGUAUACGGUGUCAGGGGGUGAGAGUUUCCAAAACCCUAACAAUGGGGACUAAGCGGCGACCCACUUGCCCUUCUUGCGAUAAACCUAGCCAGCUCUGCCUCUGCAAGAAGAUGCGAUCUCCAUGUUUCGAUAAUCAGGUGAGUGUUACUAUUCUUCAGCACAGUCUCGAGAGAAAACACGCACUUAAUUCAACUCGAAUCGCUAGAUUAGGGCUUAAGAAUGUUGGUGUGACUACUGUUUUCGAUGUACAUGAUGAGGCAGAGUUCGUAAUCAGGGUCAUUGGAUCGGGUUGCAGCAAGAUUGGCACGAAUCAGUCAGAUUUUGAUUAUAGGCUAGAGAAUGUUGCUUCUUUGGAGCUUGAUGAGAGCUUUAAGUUAGGUAUUAAUGGAAAUGUGGAGAACUUAGAAUCUGAGAAGAAUGUGGUGCUUGUUGCUCAUAGAAGCUUGAAAAUUGCUGAAAGUUUGAAGCUUUCUCAACAUUCGGGUGAAAUGUCUUGUCGGGAUUUGCGGGUUACAGAUAAGAUAGGUUCUUGUGAAGAAAGUAGAUCAGAAGAUUUGAUAAGAAUCUGUAUGAAGAAACAAGGUGUCAUCAGCAAUGUCUCACACUCUUUGAUGCUUGAAACCAGUGUGGAGGAUUCUAGUUUUGAUCAUAUAUUGGGUUCUCCUGCCGCCAUGGAUGUCUUGGCGAAAGGGUUUGUUGUAACAAAGUUCUCAGAAGGGAAGCGAGAAUUUGAACUUGAGGUUCCUCCUGGAUCAGCACUAUUGUUCCCGAGCGAAAAAUCGGUGAAGAUCAAUGAUCUUAAAGAGAAAGAAGAGUUGCAGGUAAGGAAUCUGCUUGUUCUUGAUGGGACAUGGUCAAAGGCAAGAAGAAUAUACCUUGAGAAUCCAUGGCUAAAGCUUUUACGUUGCCAUGUGAAGCUAGAAAUGGAAGGUACAAGUAUAUACAAAGAAGUUCGAAGGCAGCCAAGAGCGGGAUGUUUAUCGACAAUAGAGAGUAUUGUAUACACGAUGAAGGAGAUCGGUGAAGAUCCCGAAGGUUUAGAUAAUAUGUUGAAUGUCUUUGAAUCCAUGGUUGAAGAUCAAAGAAGAUGUAAAGAUGAGAACUUUGAAAAGAUUAUCUGAAAGACAAAAUGACUUUGCUGUUGUAACAUGUAAGCUGAAUGAAUCAGAUUCUUCAAUUUUGAUAAAUUAUGCGAAGUUGGAGUCGUUUUUGGCAAUUUAUUAUAUUUGGGGAUGAACAAGAAAAUUUCAUAGUUCUGGGCUAAUAUGUAAAUUAUAGGAAAUAUAAGUUUUGUUGAGUUAAAACUUUUGUUGUCUUCAAAAUUAACCCUACGAAUUUGAACUCAGAGAGUGUUUGUUUCGUCUCCGAAUGCUUUCAAUACGCAGAAGCUUAUUGACUCUAGCCAAAGAGCAAAAAGAUUUGUUUUUGUUGUUGUGUAAUCUCCGAGCUCGAUUUGUAUCUACAGAUAACUAUGAUCCACCAUUUUCGCCUCUCUCAAAACCCACUAAACCUCCAAAAGAGAAGAAGAAGACGAAGAAGAAGCAAGAUCAGUCGUCGGAGCUGAAGAUUCCGAUGAUUUCAGACCUUCCUUUCGAUUUUAGGUAUUCGUAUUCAGAAACCAACCCGGAAAUUGAACCAAUUGGAUUCCGUGAACCGAAACGGUUUUCUCCUUUUGGACCGGGUCGAUUGGACCGGAAAUGGACCGGUACUUCCGCACUAGUUUCGCCGGAGAUUGAUCAGAGUCAAUGGGUGGAGGAGAGAGCAAGAGUUCUCGGCGAGCCUUUGACAGAGGAAGAAGUUACAGAGCUUGUUGAACGGUAUCGGCAUAGUGAUUGUUCACGACAGAUUAAUCUCGGUACAAUUUUGAAUCUUUUUGCCUAAAAUGUUUAGCUUUGAAAUUAGUUUUCUUGUUCAAAUCGAACCAUCUUCAAAGUUAAGAACUUUCUUCAUCGUUUCUUUGAAAGUUGAAACAUUGAGUAACUAACUUAUGUGAUUGGUCUCUUCUAAACUUUGUGGUGUUAUCAGGGAAAGGUGGUGUGACUCACAAUAUGAUAGAUGAUAUUCACAACCAUUGGAAGAAAGCUGAGGCAGUGAGGAUUAAAUGCUUGGGAGUACCAACUCUUGACAUGGACAACAUAUGUUUCCACCUCGAGGUGUCUGUUAUUAGAUCUCAAGAACACGGCUCUCUUCUUCUUUUGGUUGAUCUAAUUUUCGUAAGUAUUCAUCCUGAUCUUACUAUACUUGUGUUCUUGACAGGAAAAAUCUGGUGGAAAGAUUGUAUACAGACACAUAAACAUUCUAGUUUUGUACCGGGGAAGGAAUUAUGAUCCGAAGAGUCGUCCCAUUAUACCACUCAUGUUAUGGAAGCCUUAUCCACCGAUAUACCCAAGACUUGUAAAGAAUGUCGCCGAUGGAUUAACAUUUGAAGAGACCAAAGAGAUGAGAAAUCGCGGGAUUCAUUCUCCUGCCUUAAUGAAACUUAGUAAGUAGUACAUUCGUCGCAAAGUUCUUGGUCAUUUUUCUGGUUUUCCUCAGUUUUCAUUGGCUUAUUUGUAUUGUGAUACAGCUAGGAAUGGUGUCUAUGUUAAUGUCGUGGGAAGAGUGAGGGAGGAGUUUGAAACAGAAGAGAUUGUGAGACUAGAUUGCACUCAUGUUGGGAUGAGUGACUGCAAACGAAUCGGUGUGAAACUAAAGGUAUAAUAAACUCUAAAUGGAUUGCUUGUCUUAUCUUCUCUGUCAGAUUCUGUAGGAGAUUGAUCUUGAUGGUGUGAUCAAAAUUGUAGGAUUUGGUUCCAUGUGUUCCCAUAUUGUUCAAAGAUGAGCAAAUCAUACUCUGGAGAGGGAAGAGGAAUGGUGAAGAAGAGCUUUUUUCACUCUGCGAAAACUUUAAUCCGGAACAAUGAUCAUGUGAUCUUGGUUGAUUUGUAUAUUGCAUUACAAAAUAGGGAAGGAUCCAAAUUAUGUAUUUUCGAAAAAUAACUAUGAGUUUCGGUUUGAUUUAGCUCAUAAUUUGAUUUCGGUUUGAUUUAGCUCAUAAUUAGAUUUCUAGAGUAAUCAAUCUACUUUUCUUUUUGUCAUCUUACCUUCGAACACUAACCAUGUUCAAUUACUCAAAUCGCCGGUUCAAAACCAAACCGGUCAAUAGUAUUUAAAACAGCUAAUGGGCUGAGGUAGGGCUGGACUUUUAAACCGAACCGAAAUUUCAAAAUAUCUGAAUGGAUACUAAAUUUUAAAACCGAAAGAACCGAAAACCGAAUGGAUCCAACCGAUAACCGAACGGAUAACCGAAAGCUCAGGCCUAAUAAAAGUUCUAAGAGUGGGCUUAAAAAAAGCCCAGAACUGUAUCGUCAUAACUAUAAUAAAGUAAGCGAGACAUUUAAGGAGCUUUAUUUUCAUUUCUCUUCCCCGUAGCGAAAUUUUAGGUUUUUUUAUUCCGUCGUAGUGAUGCAGCACCCACCGUCAAACGCCGCCGGAGCAGGACAGAUACCAUCGGGACAGCAACAGUUGUGGAUAAUGAUGCAACAGCAGCAACAGCAGCAGCAGCAGCAGCAGCAGCAGCAGCAGAGGCAGUCUGCGGCGUUACUAGGUCAACAGCAGUACGGUGUUGGAUCUCAGAAUCCAGGAUCCGAGGUCAAAUCGUUGUGGAUCGGAGACUUGCAGCAAUGGAUGGACGAGAACUACAUCAUGAGCGUCUUUAAUCAGUCUGGCGAGGUAAUUUACUUCACUGAGAUUAUGAAAAUCCUGGGAAAUAGUUUUGAAAUUCGAGAAGAACAGAGUCGUGUUUUUACUAGUUAUAGUCUUUUGCUUAUCAUGUAGAAGAUUAAAAAGUAUUGUUCUUUGUUUGUGGUUUCAGGCUCAAUCAGCUAAAGUCAUUCGUAAUAAGCUGACGGGACAAUCUGAAGGUUAUGGAUUCAUUGAGUUUAUCAACCAUUCUGUAGCUGAGCGGGUUUUGCAGACUUACAAUGGUGCUCAAAUGCCGAGCACUGAACAGACGUUUAGGCUCAACUGGGCUCAGGCUGGGGCUGGAGAGAAACGACACCAGACUGAAGGGCCUGACCAUACGAUUUUCGUAGGCGACUUGGCACCUGAGGUGACUGAUUACAUGCUCUCGGACACAUUCAAGAAUGUGUAUGGGUCUGUCAAGGGGGCUAAAGUUGUGGUUGACAGGACCACUGGAAGGUCCAAGGGUUAUGGGUUUGUCAGGUUUGCGGACGAAAAUGAGCAGAUGCGUGCCAUGACCGAAAUGAAUGGUCAAUACUGCUCGACCAGGCCUAUGCGUAUUGGUCCAGCUGCCAAUAAGAAUGCUCUUCCGAUGCAACCAGGUAUGUUUUAUAUGUAGGAAUGGUGUGCAUUGAGUAUGUUGAAUGGUGUAUGAAGUUUGUUUGUGUUUGUUUAACCUUCGAUGUUGAGCAUUAUAAUUGAGUGUCUUUUUUGCUUGCUGUAUUUCUUUCUGAUCAGUGAUGUUUCUUCUUUCAAUUAGUUCUCAAAGAUUAAGAGUUCUUAUCUGCUCCUUUUCCUUUCGGUUUUGGACUUUCUGCACAAUGAAUUUUGAUAUAGUAAAGCAUCCAAAAACUUAUAAAAAUCAGCUCAUGUUGUCUUAAAGCAGGAGAACAAGUGGCUCUCUUUGGGGGAGCCUGGAACUGAUUUCAGCUGAAAAUGAUACCACUUUAAUGCGUGGCCUCAUUUAGGUCAGUUGGUUAUGUUAUCAGAAGAAGUUACAUAUAAGUGGCUGUUAUUAGCCUACAGUUUCAAAUUACUUUCAAGUUCCUUACUUAUCACUUAGACGUAUUUUAUUUUUGAGCCUUUUAACUUCAAAUUCAUUCUUUUUAUAUUCCGUAGCUCAUUUUCCCAGUAUUUUAUUUUGACCUCUACCUUAAAGUUAAAUACUUCUCUAAGCAAACUGUUGCACGUAUAUUUCCGUCUUUUCAUAAUAGUUUUCCUCUCUAGAUUUAUACUAUUAAACUUUGGCCAAAUCAGUGUCCUACAAGUUGAUUACUAGGAACUUCUAAUAUUGAAGAAAUUUGGAUGUAGGGUGAAGAGUUUCCUUUCAUUAUUCUAUGCCUGAGUGUUACGUUCCACAUGCACUUACUGUUUGAUAUCUACGCUCAACGAUUUGUUAUCAAUAAUCAACUGAAUUCAGAUUUUUGCACUGUAUGUUAUUUUGUUUCUUUGCUGGUAUGGUAUCUUCUUAGGUGUUGAUGUGAAUGAUUUUUGCAAAACUUGUUUGAGUGAACGUCUGUUGUUCUGCAAUUUAGUUUUAGUUUCUCACCAUGUCGAGUGGGUUUUAUGCAGUAUUGAUAGAACUUUCCAUCUCUCUUAAGUUCACCCAUCUGUUAUUUGCAGCUAUGUAUCAAAACACUCAAGGAGGAAAUGCUGGCGAUAGCGAUCCAAAUAACACAACAGUACGUAGUUAGUUUUCUUUUGUUUUUCCCCAAAACCUUUAGUCUGAUGUUUUUGAUAGACUGCAAGUGUAAUGCGUUCUACUUUCAGAUUUUUGUUGGAGGUCUGGAUGCUAAUGUUACAGACGAUGAAUUAAAGUCAAUUUUUGGUCAAUUUGGGGAACUUCUUCAUGUUAAAAUUCCGCCAGGAAAACGUUGUGGAUUCGUUCAAUAUGCCAACAGGUAUAAAACAUCAUAUCAACCAUCCACUGUGAAUAGAAAAACCCGAAGCAUUCUUUUCUUGCUUACUUCAUUAUUCUCUUUGUUGUGCUUCAGGGCGACUGCAGAGCAUGCACUUUCGGUACUGAAUGGAACACAAUUAGGUGGACAAAGCAUCCGUCUUUCGUGGGGACGUAGUCCAAACAAGCAGGUUAGUUUGUUACCUGUUUUUACCUUUCUUCCACAGUUUGUCAAAUCUAUACCUUUAAAACUUGAGAGUGAUAUUAUGAGCAGAAUGAUUACCUAAACUUCAUGUUCACAGCCUGAUCAAGCGCAAUGGAACGGUGGUGGAUACUAUGGAUACCCUCCACAGCCACAGGGCGGCUAUGAACCAUAUGGUUAUGCAGCUCAACCUAAUCAGGAUCCUAAUGCGUACUAUGGCGGUUACACUGGCUAUGGCAACUAUCAGCAGCAACGUCAGGUAACUCAAUUACACUGACAAACAACAAUAUUUUUCUUAAGAUUUACAACAUGUGAAUAUGUUCUUACCUAUCUUGUUUUUCCAAUGCAGUGAAACAUCAACAUCAGCUUUUUCUACCAAUGUCUUGGAACAAAAGAUGUGUCAUUAAGUCUUUUUAGGACUUUUAGAUUUUAAGAGUGCUCUCUUUUUACUAGAUGUGAGUUUUAUUUUGCAAAUGAGUAUCUUGGAUUUGCUAUGAACAAAUUGUUGGAUGAAUGUUGAAACUUUAUUCUGUUGUUUUUUUUAUAAAAAUAAUUAUCCAAAAUUAAUCGGAUUUAUGUCAAAAUUAAUAGUAUAUAGUCUGAUAGAAAAUCUAACAUAAAAGCUUAUAUGAUUACUGCCAGAAGUGUAUUUGGUAAUUUACGAAAUAAAAAGUAAAGUUCUUCGCUUAAUAAACAAAAAAAGCUAAAAUGUAAAUCCUUUUCCUCACUCUCAAAUUUUUCAGAGGAGGAAAGCUUCUUUCGCUUUUAUUUCAGAUCAAUCGGAUCUGAAAUUGUUUGUUUUUGGUUCCAAUCAAUUGCUAGAUUUUCAAUUCUGGCGUUGAUUCGGUUUGGGUGUCCCUCUUUUGGGCUUCGCUUCCCCUGUUGGGGCUUUGGUUUUCUUCUCACGGACCGGUGGCUCUUUUAGCACCGUUGCCGUCUAUGUUUGCUCGGUCGUCUCAUCUCCGGCCACGCCUCUGUCAGAAACAAACUCAAGCUUGGAAUGGAUCCGACGAAAAACGAAGACAGCUUCGUAUGGUGUUUCGGAUUCGUACCGGUUUGGUGACAACAAGCCUAUGUUUGGUGAACUUAAUUUUUUGAAGAUAAAAAGCUUUUUGUAGAAGAUGAAGAUGAAGAUGAAUAAGAUUUGCAUUAAGUGGAGUCAAAUUCUCAUCAAAGCUUAAAUGGAGAUUUCGCCUUAAUUUGUUUGGGUGAAGAAUGAGAUCUAUCGCAAGUUUUGCGUAAGUUUUCCGGCGAUUCCGGUCGGGAUUGAAGUUUCCUGGCGUUACAACAUUCUGCCGUGAUCCUCGACUCCCAUCUCUUCGACUUCCCACGUGUCAUCCAACCUGUUUCGCAUGUGCCACGUGUUCUCUGUGCUAGACACUAGACACCACUUUUUCUUCAAUUAAAGGUUUACUUAUCUGGGCUUUUAGGCUUUUCUUUUGUUUUAGUUUAUUUUAGUGUGUUUGUAAAAUAUUGGCUUGUAUCACUUGGCUUGUAUCACUUGGCUUUUGUAUUAUAAAUAAAAUACACUUGUGACAAAAAAAAAAAAAAAUCCUUUUCCUCACAAGUAGACGGUAAACAAACGUGCAAAAUUCCAAAGGUGGAAACGAAUCACAAAAUUUUCCACAGAAUUGAUAUAAACUACACAAAUUCUCGGUGCACAAAGGAAUAAACUUUAAAAUGUCUAUUGAGAUCUUAUCAUUGCGUUAUAAAUUUGAGAGCCAUUUCUUCAAGCUGAGCUACGGAAAGAGAAUCUGUGUUGAUUUUUCCUUCAUUUUCUUCAUUGUCAGAGACGAUCUUCUUUGCUCUUUUGCGGUUUCUUCCUGUUUCUUCUUCUGAUGAUCCAGAACCAUCAUGGCCUUCUUCUUCUUCUUCUUCUUCUUCUUCAUCCUCCAUGGCUCCUCUCUUCCUCUUAAUCUUCUGUUUCAUUCUCUUUUCUCUCCUCUUUUCCCUCUCUACUUUCUUGUCCUCAGCAUCAGCUUUCCUCAUUUCCGCUCCCACUUUCUUAUAGAAAUCCUUCCUUUUCUCUGCAAAAUUCAACAACCAAUUUACACAUGCUUUGUAAAAACUGAUUCAUUGCUAGUUUGUGUGAACAGAAUAAUAGGGAUUUUGAUGUAACUUGAAGUUCAUGUUCCUCUACCUUCAUCAAGGGCUACUUCAGUCCCUGCUGUAGCAGCUACACUUGCUAAGGGAGCCAAGGAAUUGCCUUCCUCAUCAAGCACAACCCUCGACCCAAAUGGUCUGUGUAGAUUGAUCUUCAGCUUCUUGUUUUUCAAAACCCGAGUUCCUUGCCUGAAAAUUCAAAGGAAUUUUAUAAACAUAUAUAAGCAUGAAUAGACUGGAUCGAAUGAAUGAAAAAAUAGUUAAUGGAAUGUGAAAACCAUACAUGGGAACUUCUUCUUCCUUGGUUGAUUUUUCUACUUCUUUGCCCUCUCCACGUGGCUUGAGAGCAAAAUCUUCUUCCUCUAAAUCUUCACCAAGAAGAUCUUUUUUUACAACCAGAGGUGCUUCAUAUUCCUGUGCAUUCUCAGGCUCCAUAGCGAUAGAACUCUCAAAGACCCCUUUUUUCUUCGUUUUAAGGUUUGUAAAUCGGAUUCUGGGAGUCAUUGGCAGACCAAGUGAAGCAGAAAAGUUUUCAAUCGACAGCUUUGACACAUCAAAAAUCUCUUUAUCUCUUCUUUUGUGGAUGGACCUCAAAUAUGUGAUGAAGGCUCUCUGAGCAACACCUUGAAGAUCUGGAUACUUGACUAACAAAGCAGCCAAAAGCCUAGAAACCUCCUGCAACUUUUGGUUGUUUGCCUGUGUGAACAAUUUUUUUUUUAAGUCAAAUGUUUUCAACCAUAGUCGAGACUAAAAGAAAAUUGAGAACGGGAUCUACUACCUUGAUGAGUUUUACAGGCACUUUAGCUUCUUGUAAUUUCUCAAUCAUUUUUUCCUCCGAAGGUGUCAGAAAGAGGAGCGACUUCCCUUGAGUAUAGAAACGAGCUGUACGCCCAACUCGGUGAAUAUAAGAAGCUACAUCUUCAGGACAAUCCACCUAUAAAAUAAAUACGAUGACAUCACACUUCAACCCUACAAGAUCAAAGAGUAUUGUAAUUCUGAAUGUGGAUUCAUACCUGAACAACCCAGUCCACAGCCUUAUCAAAAUCAAGACCUCUGGCAAGAACAUCGGUACAGAACAGAACUGAUUGUCUCUCAAUGAACUGAGAGUAUACUCCCAUCCUUUUCUCCUGACUCAUUUUUCCAUGAAGGCUCUUCAAAGGUAUUCCAGGCCGGAGCUUGUUGAAUGCUUCAUGAACAAAUUUGACCUGCCCAAAAUAGUGAUCCGUUUAUCAAUCUCAAGAUAGAAAAAAGUAGCAGAAUAAAAGUGGAACAAACUAUCUCCAUGUUGAUUAUUCAAAGAGGAAGAGAGGUAAAAUAAUCUAACCUGUUUCUUGGUGGAGAGAAAAACAAGAAUCCUGGAAUUAAGGUGAGUUUUGAUGAAGCUCCAUAACAUGUCUAAUUUCUUUUCAACUGGGACAAUCAUCACAGUCUGCAUCAAGGAAGCUGGAGUAGCUGUAGGCGCCUCUUCAUGUACACUAAUGUACUCAGGAUCUCUCAAACUGAGUCUUGCUAAAUCCUUGACUUUCUUAGUUUGGGUUGCAGAGAAAAGCAAAGUUUGUCUGUGCUUAGGCAACUGUGAGAUUAUAGGAUCCAACUGCCCCUUGAAUGCAGAAUCAAGGACACGGUCGGCCUCAUCUAAAAUCAGAAUCUGCAACAAAAGAGAACACAUAUUAUGCAUCUCAAAUCAAUAAGACUAAAGAAAUUCGGCACACAGAAACAUAGACGGAGACAGGGGAUACCCAUGGUACAUUCUAAUGUUCAUAAACGUGUAGGAGAAAAAGGUAACUGCUACCUACUAACCUAUUUUUUUCCUUAAUAUCCGCACAAUGAUUAUAGAUAGAGUUAAAACACAAAAUGCCCAAAUAUUCUGUUUGGGGUAGUGAAAACAUGAUCAAUACCUGAAGAUGUGAACAUUCGAAGUUUGGAGUCUCAUCCAUAUGCUGCAGAAGCCUACCAGGAGCACAUACCAAAAUAUUCAUCUCAUUAACUCGCUCCUUCUCAACAUCAACUCCUUCACGACCACCAAUUAAGAGCCCCGCACUGAACUUAUGAAACUUUCCUACUUUAUUCAAAACGCUGAAAGUUUGAGCUGCCAAUUCCCUUGUUGGAGAUAUAAUUAUGCAUCCCACUCCAUCUUCAGGACUCCAUCUCUCCCUAUGUAACUUCUCCAGAAUCUAAAAACACACAACAAUCCAUUAACAUCUAUCAAAAACCAAACAUGAUCAAGAGAAAAAGCUACACAGAGCAAUAAACUCUAUCGACUUUACCGGAAUAACAAAAGCUAGAGUUUUGCCAGAGCCAGUUCUAGCAGCACCGAGAAUAUCUCUUCCACAUAAAGCAUGAGGAAUAGCAGCGCUCUGAACAUCAGUCAUGUCAACGUAUUUCGCAUCUUUCAAUCCUCUUUUGGUUUUAUCCGAUAUCGGUAACUGAGCAAACUUCCUUACACCUGCGUACCGCGAGAAAACGGUGCCGUUUUUGCCGUCUUCGAACUUUCCGAUCUUCGAAUCUUUAGGAAGAGGACGUAAUGAAAGUGGAUUGGAUCCUGAAUCCGGUUUUUGUGAUUCGAUCCACUGGUUCAGAAGAUUUAUUUCUUCGACUUCGUUGAGACGAAUCUGCUUCCGCAUUCCCUUGGUCUUCUUAAGUUUUACCAUCUUGACACGAACACGAAAUUAGAGCUCCGGAGAUAGAAAAGCUUACGACUUGAGAUGCUAGAAUUGGCAGGAGAGAAUAUAUAAAUUAGGGUUUUAAGAAUUGGUAGAUUCACAAGAAGAAGACGAUGAAGCAGCCAAUUGAAGGGUUUAACGAUGACGAUGUUUUUUCUUUAUUACCACAAAAACAAAAAACAAAAAAAACUAAUCUAGGCCCAAUAAGAUUGAUAUCGGCCCAAUAAAUAGGCCUUUUUCUUUUCCUUCAUCUCUCAAAAAUCUCUUCCCAAAGGAAUUCCUUACCAAACAAAACU
rnacentral:lncRNA from 1 species